GCGAGAGUAGUACUAGGAUGGGUGACCUCCCGGGAAGUCCUCGUGUUGCACCCCUUUUUAUUUUUUAAUUUUUUUUUUAGCCUAAAACGAGUCUAAACUUGAAAACCCCAUAACUUUUGAACCGUGAGGAACUACGUCGCCCAUAGCACCAUUUCGGAAAGCCCCAGAAACCAUAAUGGGCGGUGAAUAGGGGGCGCAAUUUUUCGGGCUCAAAUUCAGCCGUUUUGACCCUCAAACGGGCUGCGGAAAGUUAUGGCACGUAAAAAAGAUCGAAAGCGGAUUCUCAAGGUGUUUUUGAUGCUUUCUUAACGCCGUUAACCUCGAUGCACUUUUUCGCUCGAAACAAAACGGCAAGAAAAUCAUGCGCGCCCCACGGCCUUACACUUGGAUUGGCCGCGAAAAGGAUAUAUAGAAACGAGAGUGAUGUACUGUCGGGUGCGAUCAUACCAGCACUAAUGCACCGGAUCCCAUCAGAACUCCGCAGUUAAGCGUGCUUGGGCGAGAGUAGUACUAGGAUGGGUGACCUCCCGGGAAGUCCUCGUGUUGCACCCCUUUUUAUUUUUUAAUUUUUUUUAGCCUAAAACGAGUCUAAACUUGAAAACCCAUAACUUUUGAACCGUGAGGAACUACGUCGCCCAUAGCACCAUUUCGGAAAGCCCCAGAAACCAUAAUGGGCGGUGAAUAGGGGGCGCAAUUUUUCGGGCUCAAAUUCAGCCGUUUUGACCCUCAAACGGGCUGCGGAAAGUUAUGGCACGUAAAAAAGAUCGAAAGCGGAUUCUCAAGGUGUUUUUGAUGCUUUCUUAACGCCGUUAACCUCGAUGCACUUUUUCGCUCGAAACAAAACGGCAAGAAAAUCAUGCGCGCCCCACGGCCUUACACUUGGAUUGGCCGCGAAAAGGAUAUAUAGAAACGAGAGUGAUGUACUGUCGGGUGCGAUCAUACCAGCACUAAUGCACCGGAUCCCAUCAGAACUCCGCAGUUAAGCGUGCUUGGGCGAGAGUAGUACUAGGAUGGGUGACCUCCCGGGAAGUCCUCGUGUUGCACCCCUUUUUAUUUUUUAAUUUUUUUUUAGCCUAAAACGAGUCUAAACUUGAAAACCCCAUAACUUUUGAACCGUGAGGAACUACGUCGCCCAUAGCACCAUUUCGGAAAGCCCCAGAAACCAUAAUGGGCGGUGAAUAGGGGGCGCAAUUUUUCGGGCUCAAAUUCAGCCGUUUUGACCCUCAAACGGGCUGCGGAAAGUUAUGGCACGUAAAAAAGAUCGAAAGCGGAUUCUCAAGGUGUUUUUGAUGCUUUCUUAACGCCGUUAACCUCGAUGCACUUUUUCGCUCGAAACAAAACGGCAAGAAAAUCAUGCGCGCCCCACGGCCUUACACUUGGAUUGGCCGCGAAAAGGAUAUAUAGAAACGAGAGUGAUGUACUGUCGGGUGCGAUCAUACCAGCACUAAUGCACCGGAUCCCAUCAGAACUCCGCAGUUAAGCGUGCUUGGGCGAGAGUAGUACUAGGAUGGGUGACCUCCCGGGAAGUCCUCGUGUUGCACCCCUUUUUAUUUUUUAAUUUUUUUUUAGCCUAAAACGAGUCUAAACUUGAAAACCCAUAACUUUUGAACCGUGAGGAACUACGUCGCCCAUAGCACCAUUUCGGAAAGCCCCAGAAACCAUAAUGGGCGGUGAAUAGGGGGCGCAAUUUUUCGGGCUCAAAUUCAGCCGUUUUGACCCUCAAACGGGCUGCGGAAAGUUAUGGCACGUAAAAAAGAUCGAAAGCGGAUUCUCAAGGUGUUUUUGAUGCUUUCUUAACGCCGUUAACCUCGAUGCACUUUUUCGCUCGAAACAAAACGGCAAGAAAAUCAUGCGCGCCCCACGGCCUUACACUUGGAUUGGCCGCGAAAAGGAUAUAUAGAAACGAGAGUGAUGUACUGUCGGGUGCGAUCAUACCAGCACUAAUGCACCGGAUCCCAUCAGAACUCCGCAGUUAAGCGUGCUUGGGCGAGAGUAGUACUAGGAUGGGUGACCUCCCGGGAAGUCCUCGUGUUGCACCCCUUUUUAUUUUUUAAUUUUUUUUAGCCUAAAACGAGUCUAAACUUGAAAACCCCAUAACUUUUGAACCGUGAGGAACUACGUCGCCCAUAGCACCAUUUCGGAAAGCCCCAGAAACCAUAAUGGGCGGUGAAUAGGGGGCGCAAUUUUUCGGGCUCAAAUUCAGCCGUUUUGACCCUCAAACGGGCUGCGGAAAGUUAUGGCACGUAAAAAAGAUCGAAAGCGGAUUCUCAAGGUGUUUUUGAUGCUUUCUUAACGCCGUUAACCUCGAUGCACUUUUUCGCUCGAAACAAAACGGCAAGAAAAUCAUGCGCGCCCCACGGCCUUACACUUGGAUUGGCCGCGAAAAGGAUAUAUAGAAACGAGAGUGAUGUACUGACGGGUGCGAUCAUACCAGCACUAAUGCACCGGAUCCCAUCAGAACUCCGCAGUUAAGCGUGCUUGGGCGAGAGUAGUACUAGGAUGGGUGACCUCCCGGGAAGUCCUCGUGUUGCACCCCUUUUUAUUUUUUAAUUUUUUUUAGCCUAAAACGAGUCUAAACUUGAAAAACCCAUAACUUUUGAACCGUGAGGAACUACGUCGCCCAUAGCACCAUUUCGGAAAGCCCCAGAAACCAUAAUGGGCGGUGAAUAGGGGGCGCAAUUUUUCGGGCUCAAAUUCAGCCGUUUUGACCCUCAAACGGGCUGCGGAAAGUUAUGGCACGUAAAAAAGAUCGAAAGCGGAUUCUCAAGGUGUUUUUGAUGCUUUCUUAACGCCGUUAACCUCGAUGCACUUUUUCGCUCGAAACAAAACGGCAAGAAAAUCAUGCGCGCCCCACGGCCUUACACUUGGAUUGGCCGCGAAAAGGAUAUAUAGAAACGAGAGUGAUGUACUGUCGGGUGCGAUCAUACCAGCACUAAUGCACCGGAUCCCAUCAGAACUCCGCAGCUAAGCGUGCUUGGGCGAGAGUAGUACUAGGAUGGGUGACCUCCCGGGAAGUCCUCGUGUUGCACCCCUUUUUAUUUUUUAAUUUUUUUUUAGCCUAAAACGAGUCUAAACUUGAAAACCCCAUAACUUUUGAACCGUGAGGAACUACGUCGCCCAUAGCACCAUUUCGGAAAGCCCCAGAAACCAUAAUGGGCGGUGAAUAGGGGGCGCAAUUUUUCGGGCUCAAAUUCAGCCGUUUUGACCCUCAAACGGGCUGCGGAAAGUUAUGGCACGUAAAAAAGACCGAAAGCGGAUUUUCAAGGUGUUUUUGAUGCUUUCUUAACGCCGUUAACCUCGAUGCACUUUUUCGCUCGAAACAAAACGGCAAGAAAAUCAUGCGCGCCCCACGGCCUUACACUUGGAUUGGCCGCGAAAAGGAUAUAUAGAAACGAGAGUGGAUGUACUGACGGGUGCGAUCAUACCAGCACUAAUGCACCGGAUCCCAUCAGAACUCCGCAGUUAAGCGUGCUUGGGCGAGAGUAGUACUAGGAUGGGUGACCUCCCGGGAAGUCCUCGUGUUGCACCCCUUUUUAUUUUUUAAUUUUUUUUUAGCCUAAAACGAGUCUAAACUUGAAAACCUCAUAACUUUUGAACCGUGAGGAACUACGUCGCCCAUAGCACCAUUUCGGAGAGCCCCAGAAACCAUAAUGGGCGGUGAAUAGGGGGCGCAAUUUUUCGGGCUCAAAUUCAGCCGUUUUGACCCUCAAACGGGCUGCGGAAAGUUAUGGCACGUAAAAAAGAUCGAAAGCGGAUUCUCAAGGUGUUUUUGAUGCUUUCUUAACGCCGUUAACCUCGAUGCACUUUUUCCGCUCGAAACAAAACGGCAAGAAAAUCAUGCGCGCCCCACGGCCUUACACUUGGAUUGGCCGCGAAAAGGAUAUAUAGAAACGAGAGUGAUGUACUGACGGGUGCGAUCAUACCAGCACUAAUGCACCGGAUCCCAUCAGAACUCCGCAGUUAAGCGUGCUUGGGCGAGAGUAGUACUAGGAUGGGUGACCUCCCGGAAGUCCUCGUGUUGCACCCCUUUUUAUUUUUUAAUUUUUUUUUUGCCUAAACGAGUCUAAACUUGAAAACCUCAUAACUUUUGAACCGUGAGGAACUACGUCGCCCAUAGCACCAUUUCGGAGAGCCCCAGAAACCAUAAUGGGCGGUGAAUAGGGGGCGCAAUUUUUCGGGCUCAAAUUCAGCCGUUUUGACCCUCAAACGGGCUGCGGAAAGUUAUGGCACGUAAAAAAGAUCGAAAGCGGAUUCUCAAGGUGUUUUUGAUGCUUUCUUAACGCCGUUAACCUCGAUGCACUUUUUCGCUCGAAACAAAACGGCAAGAAAAUCAUGCGCGCCCCACGGCCUUACACUUGGAUUGGCCGCGAAAAGGAUAUAUAGAAACGAGAGUGAUGUACUGACGGGUGCGAUCAUACCAGCACUAAUGCACCGGAUCCCAUCAGAACUCCGCAGUUAAGCGUGCUUGGGCGAGAGUAGUACUAGGAUGGGUGACCUCCCGGGAAGUCCUCGUGUUGCACCCCUUUUUUUUUUUAAUUUUUUUUUAGCCUAAAACGAGUCUAAACUUGAAAACCUCAUAACUUUUGAACCGUGAGGAACUACGUCGCCCAUAGCACCAUUUCGGAGAGCCCCAGAAACCAUAAUGGGCGGUGAAUAGGGGGCGCAAUUUUUCGGGCUCAAAUUCAGCCGUUUUGACCCUCAAACGGGCUGCGGAAAGUUAUGGCACGUAAAAAAGAUCGAAAGCGGAUUCUCAAGGUGUUUUUGAUGCUUUCUUAACGCCGUUAACCUCGAUGCACUUUUUCGCUCGAAACAAAACGGCAAGAAAAUCAUGCGCGCCCCACGGCCUUACACUUGGAUUGGCCGCGAAAAGGAUAUAUAGAAACGAGAGUGAUGUACUGACGGGUGCGAUCAUACCAGCACUAAUGCACCGGAUCCCAUCAGAACUCCGCAGUUAAGCGUGCUUGGGCGAGAGUAGUACUAGGAUGGGUGACCUCCCGGGAAGUCCUCGUGUUGCACCCCUUUUUAUUUUUUAAUUUUUUUUUGCCUAAAACGAGUCUAAACUUGAAAACCUCAUAACUUUUGAACCGUGAGGAACUACGUCGCCCAUAGCACCAUUUCGGAGAGCCCCAGAAACCAUAAUGGGCGGUGAAUAGGGGGCGCAAUUUUUCGGGCUCAAAUUCAGCCGUUUUGACCCUCAAACGGGCUGCGGAAAGUUAUGGCACGUAAAAAAGAUCGAAAGCGGAUUCUCAAGGUGUUUUUGAUGCUUUCUUAACGCCGUUAACCUCGAUGCACUUUUUCGCUCGAAACAAAACGGCAAGAAAAUCAUGCGCGCCCCCACGGCCUUACACUUGGAUUGGCCGCGAAAAGGAUAUAUAGAAACGAGAGUGAUGUACUGACGGGUGCGAUCAUACCAGCACUAAUGCACCGGAUCCCAUCAGAACUCCGCAGUUAAGCGUGCUUGGGCGAGAGUAGUACUAGGAUGGGUGACCUCCCGGGAAGUCCUCGUGUUGCACCCCUUUUUAUUUUUUAAUUUUUUUUUAGCCUAAAACGAGUCUAAACUUGAAAACCUCAUAACUUUUGAACCGUGAGGAACUACGUCGCCCAUAGCACCAUUUCGGAGAGCCCCAGAAACAUAAUGGGCGGUGAAUAGGGGGCGCAAUUUUUCGGGCUCAAAUUCAGCCGUUUGACCCUCAAACGGGCUGCGGAAAGUUAUGGCACGUAAAAAGAUCGAAAGCGGAUUCUCAAGGUGUUUUUGAUGCUUUCUUAACGCCGUUAACCUCGAUGCACUUUUUCGCUCGAAACAAAACGGCAAGAAAAUCAUGCGCGCCCCACGGCCUUACACUUGGAUUGGCCGCGAAAAGGAUAUAUAGAAACGAGAGUGAUGUACUGACGGGUGCGAUCAUACCAGCACUAAUGCACCGGAUCCCAUCAGAACUCCGCAGUUAAGCGUGCUUGGGCGAGAGUAGUACUAGGAUGGGUGACCUCCUGGGAAGUCCUCGUGUUGCACCCCUUUUUAUUUUUUAAUUUUUUUUAUGCCUAAAACGAGUCUAAACUUGAAAACCUCAUAACUUUUGAACCGUGAGGAACUACGUCGCCCAUAGCACCAUUUCGGAGAGCCCCAGAAACCAUAAUGGGCGGUGAAUAGGGGCGCAAUUUUUCGGGCUCAAAUUCAGCCGUUUUGACCCUCAAACGGGCUGCGGAAAGUUAUGGCACGUAAAAAAGAUCGAAAGCGGAUUCUCAAGGUGUUUUUGAUGCUUUCUUAACGCCGUUAACCUCGAUGCACUUUUUCGCUCGAAACAAAACGGCAAGAAAAUCAUGCGCGCCCCACGGCCUUACACUUGGAUUGGCCGCGAAAAGGAUAUAUAGAAACGAGAGUGAUGUACUGACGGGUGCGAUCAUACCAGCACUAAUGCACCGGAUCCCAUCAGAACUCCGCAGUUAAGCGUGCUUGGGCGAGAGUAGUACUAGGAUGGGUGACCUCCCGGGAAGUCCUCGUGUUGCACCCCUUUUUAUUUUUUAAUUUUUUUUUAGCCUAAAACGAGUCUAAACUUGAAAACCUCAUAACUUUUGAACGAACCGUGAGGAACUACGUCGCCCAUAGCACCAUUUCGGAGAGCCCCAAAACCAUAAUGGGCGGUGAAUAGGGGGCGCAAUUUUUCGGGCUCAAAUUCAGCCGUUUUGACCCUCAAACGGGCUGCGGAAAGUUAUGGCACGUAAAAAAGAUCGAAAGCGGAUUCUCAAGGUGUUUUUGAUGCUUUCUUAACGCCGUUAACCUCGAUGCACUUUUUCGCUCGAAACAAAACGGCAAGAAAAUCAUGCGCGCCCCACGGCCUUACACUUGGAUUGGCCGCGAAAAGGAUAUAUAGAAACGAGAGUGAUGUACUGACGGGUGCGAUCAUACCAGCACUAAUGCACCGGAUCCCAUCAGAACUCCGCAGUUAAGCGUGCUUGGGCGAGAGUAGUACUAGGAUGGGUGACCUCCCGGGAAGUCCUCGUGUUGCACCCCUUUUUAUUUUUUUAUUUUUUUUUUGCCUAAAACGAGUCUAAACUUGAAAACCUCAUAACUUUUGAACCGUGAGGAACUACGUCGCCCAUAGCACCAUUUCGGAGAGCCCCAGAAACCAUAAUGGGCGGUGAAUAGGGGGCGCAAUUUUUCGGGCUCAAAUUCAGCCGUUUUGACCCUCAAACGGGCUGCGGAAAGUUAUGGCACGUAAAAAAGAUCGAAAGCGGAUUCUCAAGGUGUUUUUGAUGCUUUCUUAACGCCGUUAACCUCGAUGCACUUUUUCGCUCGAAACAAAACGGCAAGAAAAUCAUGCGCGCCCCACGGCCUUACACUUGGAUUGGCCGCGAAAAGGAUAUAUAGAAACGAGAGUGAUGUACUGACGGGUGCGAUCAUACCAGCACUAAUGCACCGGAUCCCAUCAGAACUCCGCAGUUAAGCGUGCUUGGGCGAGAGUAGUACUAGGAUGGGUGACCUCCCGGGAAGUCCUCGUGUUGCACCCCUUUUUAUUUUUUAAUUUUUUUUUAGCCUAAAACGAGUCUAAACUUGAAAACCUCAUAACUUUUGAACCGUGAGGAACUACGUCGCCCAUAGCACCAUUUCGGAGAGCCCCAGAAACCAUAAUGGGCGGUGAAUAGGGGGCGCAAUUUUUCGGGCUCAAAUUCAGCCGUUUUGACCCUCAAACGGGCUGCGGAAAGUUAUGGCACGUAAAAAAGAUCGAAAGCGGAUUCUCAAGGUGUUUUUGAUGCUUUCUUAACGCCGUUAACCUCGAUGCACUUUUUCGCUCGAAACAAAACGGCAAGAAAAUCAUGCGCGCCCCACGGCCUUACACUUGGAUUGGCCGCGAAAAGGAUAUAUAGAAACGAGAGUGAUGUACUGUCGUGUGCCAUCAUACCAGCACUAAUGCACCGGAUCCCAUCAGAACUCCGCAGUUAAGCGUGCUUGGGCGAGAGUAGUACUAGGAUGGGUGACCUCCCGGGAAGUCCUCGUGUUGCACCCCUUUUUAUUUUUUAUUUUUUUUUAGCCUGAAACGAGUCUAAACUUGAAAACCUCAUAACUUUUGAACCGUGAGGAACUACGUCUCCCAUAGCACCAUUUCGGAGAGCCCCAGAAACCAUAAUGGGCGGUCAAUAGGGGGCGCAAUUUUUCGGGCUCAAAUUCAGCCGUUUUGACCCUCAAACGGGCUGCGGAAAGUUAUGGCACGUAAAAAAGAUCGAAAGCGGAUUCUCAAGGUGUUUUUGAUGCUUUCUUAACGCCGUUAACCUCGAUGCACUUUUUCGCUCGAAACAAAACGGCAAGAAAAUCAUGCGCGCCCCACGGCCUUACACUUGGAUUGGCCGCGAAAAGGAUAUAUAGAAACGAGAGUGAUGUACUGACGGGUGCGAUCAUACCAGCACUAAUGCACCGGAUCCCAUCAGAACUCCGCAGUUAAGCGUGCUUGGGCGAGAGUAGUAGUACUAGGAUGGGUGACCUCCCGGGAAGUCCUCGUGUUGCACCCCUUUUUAUUUUUUAAUUUUUUUUUAGCCUAAAACGAGUCUAAACUUGAAAACCUCAUAACUUUUGAACCGUGAGGAACUACGUCGCCCAUAGCACCAUUUCGGAGAGCCCCAGAAACCAUAAUGGGCGGUGAAUAGGGGGCGCAAUUUUUCGGGCUCAAAUUCAGCCGUUUUGACCCUCAAACGGGCUGCGGAAAGUUAUGGCACGUAAAAAGAUCGAAAGCGGAUUCUCAAGGUGUUUUUGAUGCUUUCUUAACGCCGUUAACCUCGAUGCACUUUUUCGCUCGAAACAAAACGGCAAGAAAAUCAUGCGCGCCCCACGGCCUUACACUUGGAUUGGCCGCGAAAAGGAUAUAUAGAAACGAGAGUGAUGUACUGUCGGGUGCGAUCAUACCAGCACUAAUGCACCGGAUCCCAUCAGAACUCCGCAGUUAAGCGUGCUUGGGCGAGAGUAGUACUAGGAUGGGUGACCUCCCGGAAAGUCCUCGUGUUGCACCCCUUUUUUAUUUUUUAAUUUUUUUUUAGCCUAAAACGAGUCUAAACUUGAAAACCUCAUAACUUUUGAACCGUGAGGAACUACGUCGCCCAUAGCACCAUUUCGGAAAGCCCCAGAAACCAUAAUGGGCGGUGAAUAGGGGGCGCAAUUUUUCGGGCUCAAAUUCAGUCGUUUUGACCCUCAGACGGGCUGCGGAAAGUUAUGGCACGUAAAAAAGAUCGAAAGCGGAUUCUCAAGGUGUUUUUGAUGCUUUCUUAACGCCGUUAACCUCGAUGCACUUUUUCGCUCGAAACAAAACGGCAAGAAAAUCAUGCGCGCCCCACGGCCUUACACUUGGAUUGGCCGCGAAAAGGAUAUAUAGAAACGAGAGUGAUGUACUGACGGGUGCGAUCAUACCAGCACUAAUGCACCGGAUCCCAUCAGAACUCCGCAGUUAAGCGUGCUUGGGCGAGAGUAGUACUAGGAUGGGUGACCUCCCGGGAAGUCCUCGUGUUGCACCCCUUUUUAUUUUUAAUUUUUUUUAGCCUAAAACGAGUCUAAACUUGAAAACCUCAUAACUUUUGAACCGUGAGGAACUACGUCGCCCAUAGCACCAUUUCGGAGAGCCCCAGAAACCAUAAUGGGCGGUGAAUAGGGGGCGCAAUUUUUCGGGCGAUAUAUAGAAACGAGAGUGAUGUACUGACGGGUGCGAUCAUACCAGCACUAAUGCACCGGAUCCCAUCAGAACUCCGCAGUUAAGCGUGCUUGGGCGAGAGUAGUACUAGGAUGGGUGACCUCCCGGGAAGUCCUCGUGUUGCACCCCUUUUUAUUUUUUAAUUUUUUUUUAGCCUAAAACGAGUCUAAACUUGAAAACCUCAUAACUUUUGAACCGUGAGGAACUACGUCGCCCAUAGCACCAUUUCGGAGAGCCCCAGAAACCAUAAUGGGCGGUGAAUAGGGGCGCAAUUUUUCGGGCUCAAAUUCAGCCGUUUUGACCCUCAAACGGGCUGCGGAAAGUUAUGGCACGUAAAAAAGAUCGAAAGCGGAUUCUCAAGGUGUUUUUGAUGCUUUCUUAACGCCGUUAACCUCGAUGCACUUUUUCGCUCGAAACAAAACGGCAAGAAAAUCAUGCGCGCCCCACGGCCUUACACUUGGAUUGGCCGCGAAAAGGAUAUAUAGAAACGAGAGUGAUGUACUGACGGGUGCGAUCAUACCAGCACUAAUGCACCGGAUCCCAUCAGAACUCCGCAGUUAAGCGUGCUUGGGCGAGAGUAGUACUAGGAUGGGUGACCUCCCGGGAAGUCCUCGUGUUGCACCCCUUUUUAUUUUUUAAUUUUUUUUUAGCCUAAAACGAGUCUAAACUUGAAAACCUCAUAACUUUUGAACCGUGAGGAACUACGUCGCCCAUAGCACCAUUUCGGAGAGCCCCAGAAACCAUAAUGGGCGGUGAAUAGGGGGCGCAAUUUUUCGGGCUCAAAUUCAGCCGUUUUGACCCUCAAACGGGCUGCGGAAAGUUAUGGCACGUAAAAAAGAUCGAAAGCGGAUUCUCAAGGUGUUUUUGAUGCUUUCUUAACGCCGUUAACCUCGAUGCACUUUUUCGCUCGAAACAAAACGGCAAGAAAAUCAUGCGCGCCCCACGGCCUUACACUUGGAUUGGCCGCGAAAAGGAUAUAUAGAAACGAGAGUGAUGUACUGACGGGUGCGAUCAUACCAGCACUAAUGCACCGGAUCCCAUCAGAACUCCGCAGUUAAGCGUGCUUGGGCGAGAGUAGUACUAGGAUGGGUGACCUCCCGGGAAGUCCUCGUGUUGCACCCCUUUUUAUUUUUUAAUUUUUUUUUAGCCUAAAACGAGUCUAAACUUGAAAACCUCAUAACUUUUGAACCGUGAGGAACUACGUCGCCCAUAGCACCAUUUCGGAGAGCCCCAGAAACCAUAAUGGGCGGUGAAUAGGGGGCGCAAUUUUUCGGGCUCAAAUUCAGCCGUUUUGACCCUCAAACGGGCUGCGGAAAGUUAUGGCACGUAAAAAAGAUCGAAAGCGGAUUCUCAAGGUGUUUUUGAUGCUUUCUUAACGCCGUUAACCUCGAUGCACUUUUUCGCUCGAAACAAAACGGCAAGAAAAUCAUGCGCGCCCCACGGCCUUACACUUGGAUUGGCCGCGAAAAGGAUAUAUAGAAACGAGAGUGAUGUACUGACGGGUGCGAUCAUACCAGCACUAAUGCACCGGAUCCCAUCAGAACUCCGCAGUUAAGCGUGCUUGGGCGAGAGUAGUACUAGGAUGGGUGACCUCCCGGGAAGUCCUCGUGUUGCACCCCUUUUUAUUUUUUAAUUUUUUUUUAGCCUAAAACGAGUCUAAACUUGAAAACCUCAUAACUUUUGAACCGUGAGGAACUACGUCGCCCAUAGCACCAUUUCGGAGAGCCCCAGAAACCAUAAUGGGCGGUGAAUAGGGGGCGCAAUUUUUCGGGCUCAAAUUCAGCCGUUUUGACCCUCAAACGGGCUGCGGAAAGUUAUGGCACGUAAAAAAGAUCGAAAGCGGAUUCUCAAGGUGUUUUUGAUGCUUUCUUAACGCCGUUAACCUCGAUGCACUUUUUCGCUCGAAACAAAACGGCAAGAAAAUCAUGCGCGCCCCACGGCCUUACACUUGGAUUGGCCGCGAAAAGGAUAUAUAGAAACGAGAGUGAUGUACUGACGGGUGCGAUCAUACCAGCACUAAUGCACCGGAUCCCAUCAGAACUCCGCAGUUAAGCGUGCUUGGGCGAGAGUAGUACUAGGAUGGGUGACCUCCCGGGAAGUCCUCGUGUUGCACCCCUUUUUAUUUUUAAUUUUUUUUUAGCCUAAAACGAGUCUAAACUUGAAAACCUCAUAACUUUUGAACCGUGAGGAACUACGUCGCCCAUAGCACCAUUUCGGAGAGCCCCAGAAACCAUAAUGGGCGGUGAAUAGGGGGCGCAAUUUUUCGGGCUCAAAUUCAGCCGUUUUGACCCUCAAACGGGCUGCGGAAAGUUAUGGCACGUAAAAAAGAUCGAAAGCGGAUUCUCAAGGUGUUUUUGAUGCUUUCUUAACGCCGUUAACCUCGAUGCACUUUUUCGCUCGAAACAAAACGGCAAGAAAAUCAUGCGCGCCCCACGGCCUUACACUUGGAUUGGCCGCGAAAAGGAUAUAUAGAAACGAGAGUGAUGUACUGACGGGUGCGAUCAUACCAGCACUAAUGCACCGGAUCCCAUCAGAACUCCGCAGUUAAGCGUGCUUGGGCGAGAGUAGUACUAGGAUGGGUGACCUCCCGGGAAGUCCUCGUGUUGCACCCCUUUUUAUUUUUUAAUUUUUUUUUAGCCUAAAACGAGUCUAAACUUGAAAACCUCAUAACUUUUGAACCGUGAGGAACUACGUCGCCCAUAGCACCAUUUCGGAGAGCCCCAGAAACCAUAAUGGGCGGUGAAUAGGGGGCGCAAUUUUUCGGGCUCAAAUUCAGCCGUUUUGACCCUCAAACGGGCUGCGGAAAGUUAUGGCACGUAAAAAAGAUCGAAAGCGGAUUCUCAAGGUGUUUUUGAUGCUUUCUUAACGCCGUUAACCUCGAUGCACUUUUUCGCUCGAAACAAAACGGCAAGAAAAUCAUGCGCGCCCCACGGCCUUACACUUGGAUUGGCCGCGAAAAGGAUAUAUAGAAACGAGAGUGAUGUACUGACGGGUGCGAUCAUACCAGCACUAAUGCACCGGAUCCCAUCAGAACUCCGCAGUUAAGCGUGCUUGGGCGAGAGUAGUACUAGGAUGGGUGACCUCCCGGGAAGUCCUCGUGUUGCACCCCUUUUUAUUUUUUAAUUUUUUUUAGCCUAAAACGAGUCUAAACUUGAAAACCUCAUAACUUUUGAACCGUGAGGAACUACGUCGCCCAUAGCACCAUUUCGGAGAGCCCCAGAAACCAUAAUGGGCGGUGAAUAGGGGGCGCAAUUUUUCGGGCUCAAAUUCAGCCGUUUUGACCCUCAAACGGGCUGCGGAAAGUUAUGGCACGUAAAAAAGAUCGAAAGCGGAUUCUCAAGGUGUUUUUGAUGCUUUCUUAACGCCGUUAACCUCGAUGCACUUUUUCGCUCGAAACAAAACGGCAAGAAAAUCAUGCGCGCCCCACGGCCUUACACUUGGAUUGGCCGCGAAAAGGAUAUAUAGAAACGAGAGUGAUGUACUGACGGGUGCGAUCAUACCAGCACUAAUGCACCGGAUCCCAUCAGAACUCCGCAGUUAAGGGUGCUUGGGCGAGAGUAGUACUAGGAUGGGUGACCUCCCGGGAAGUCCUCGUGUUGCACCCCUUUUUAUUUUUUUUAUUUUUUUUUAGCCUAAAACGAGUCUAAACUUGAAAACCUCAUAACUUUUGAACCGUGAGGAACUACGUCGCCCAUAGCACCAUUUCGGAAAGCCCCAGAAACCAUAAUGGGCGGUGAAUAGGGGGCGCAAUUUUUCGGGCUCAAAUUCAGCCGUUUUGACCCUCAAACGGGCUGCGGAAAGUUAUGGCACGUAAAAAAGAUCGAAAGCGGAUUCUCAAGGUGUUUUUGAUGCUUUCUUAACGCCGUUAACCUCGAUGCACUUUUUCGCUCGAAACAAAACGGCAAGAAAAUCAUGCGCGCCCCACGGCCUUACACUUGGAUUGGCCGCGAAAAGGAUAUAUAGAAACGAGAGUGAUGUACUGACGGGUGCGAUCAUACCAGCACUAAUGCACCGGAUCCCAUCAGAACUCCGCAGUUAAGCGUGCUUGGGCGAGAGUAGUACUAGGAUGGGUGACCUCCCGGGAAGUCCUCGUGUUGCACCCCUUUUUAUUUUUUAAUUUUUUUUUAGCCUAAAACGAGUCUAAACUUGAAAACCUCAUAACUUUUGAACCGUGAGGAACUACGUCGCCCAUAGCACCAUUUCGGAAAGCCCCAGAAACCAUAAUGGGCGGUGAAUAGGGGGCGCAAUUUUUCGGGCUCAAAUUCAGCCGUUUUGACCCUCAAACGGGCUGCGGAAAGUUAUGGCACGUAAAAAAGAUCGAAAGCGGAUUCUCAAGGUGUUUUUGAUGCUUUCUUAACGCCGUUAACCUCGAUGCACUUUUUCGCUCGAAACAAAACGGCAAGAAAAUCAUGCGCGCCCCACGGCCUUACACUUGGAUUGGCCGCGAAAAGGAUAUAUAGAAACGAGAGUGAUGUACUGACGGGUGCGAUCAUACCAGCACUAAUGCACCGGAUCCCAUCAGAACUCCGCAGUUAAGCGUGCUUGGGCGAGAGUAGUACUAGGAUGGGUGACCUCCCGGGAAGUCCUCGUGUUGCACCCCUUUUUAUUUUUUAAUUUUUUUUUAGCCUAAAACGAGUCUAAACUUGAAAACCCAUAACUUUUGAACCGUGAGGAACUACGUCGCCCAUAGCACCAUUUCGGAAGCCCCAGAAACCAUAAUGGGCGGUGAAUAGGGGGCGCAAUUUUUCGGGCUCAAAUUCAGCCGUUUUGACCCUCAAACGGGCUGCGGAAAGUUAUGGCACGUAAAAAAGAUCGAAAGCGGAUUCUCAAGGUGUUUUUGAUGCUUUCUUAACGCCGUUAACCUCGAUGCACUUUUUCGCUCGAAACAAAACGGCAAGAAAAUCAUGCGCGCCCCACGGCCUUACACUUGGAUUGGCCGCGAAAAGGAUAUAUAGAAACGAGAGUGAUGUACUGACGGGUGCGAUCAUACCAGCACUAAUGCACCGGAUCCCAUCAGAACUCCGCAGUUAAGCGUGCUUGGGCGAGAGUAGUACUAGGAUGGGUGACCUCCCGGGAAGUCCUCGUGUUGCACCCCUUUUUAUUUUUUAAUUUUUUUUUAGCCUAAAACGAGUCUAAACUUGAAAACCUCAUAACUUUUGAACCGUGAGGAACUACGUCGCCCAUAGCACCAUUUCGGAAAGCCCCAGAAACCAUAAUGGGCGGUGAAUAGGGGGCGCAAUUUUUCGGGCUCAAAUUCAGCCGUUUUGACCCUCAAACGGGCUGCGGAAAGUUAUGGCACGUAAAAAAGAUCGAAAGCGGAUUCUCAAGGUGUUUUUGAUGCUUUCUUAACGCCGUUAACCUCGAUGCACUUUUUCGCUCGAAACAAAACGGCAAGAAAAUCAUGCGCGCCCCACGGCCUUACACUUGGAUUGGCCGCGAAAAGGAUAUAUAGAAACGAGAGUGAUGUACUGACGGGUGCGAUCAUACCAGCACUAAUGCACCGGAUCCCAUCAGAACUCCGCAGUUAAGCGUGCUUGGGCGAGAGUAGUACUAGGAUGGGUGACCUCCCGGGAAGUCCUCGUGUUGCACCCCUUUUUAUUUUUUAAUUUUUUUUUAGCCUAAAACGAGUCUAAACUUGAAAACCCCAUAACUUUUGAACCGUGAGGAACUACGUCGCCCAUAGCACCAUUUCGGAAAGCCCCAGAAACCAUAAUGGGCGGUGAAUAGGGGGCGCAAUUUUUCGGGCUCAAAUUCAGCCGUUUUGACCCUCAAACGGGCUGCGGAAAGUUAUGGCACGUAAAAAAGAUCGAAAGCGGAUUCUCAAGGUGUUUUUGAUGCUUUCUUAACGCCGUUAACCUCGAUGCACUUUUUCGCUCGAAACAAAACGGCAAGAAAAUCAUGCGCGCCCCACGGCCUUACACUUGGAUUGGCCGCGAAAAGGAUAUAUAGAAACGAGAGUGAUGUACUGACGGGUGCGAUCAUACCAGCACUAAUGCACCGGAUCCCAUCAGAACUCCGCAGUUAAGCGUGCUUGGGCGAGAGUAGUACUAGGAUGGGUGACCUCCCGGGAAGUCCUCGUGUUGCACCCCUUUUUAUUUUUUAAUUUUUUUUUAGCCUAAAACGAGUCUAAACUUGAAAACCUCAUAACUUUUGAACCGUGAGGAACUACGUCGCCCAUAGCACCAUUUCGGAGAAGCCCCAGAAACCAUAAUGGGCGGUGAAUAGGGGGCGCAAUUUUUCGGGCUCAAAUUCAGCCGUUUUGACCCUCAAACGGGCUGCGGAAAGUUAUGGCACGUAAAAAAGAUCGAAAGCGGAUUCUCAAGGUGUUUUUGAUGCUUUCUUAACGCCGUUAACCUCGAUGCACUUUUUCGCUCGAAACAAAACGGCAAGAAAAUCAUGCGCGCCCCACGGCCUUACACUUGGAUUGGCCGCGAAAAGGAUAUAUAGAAACGAGAGUGAUGUACUGUCGGGUGCGAUCAUACCAGCACUAAUGCACCGGAUCCCAUCAGAACUCCGCAGUUAAGCGUGCUUGGGCGAGAGUAGUACUAGGAUGGGUGACCUCCCGGGAAGUCCUCGUGUUGCACCCCUUUUUAUUUUUUAAUUUUUUUUAGCCUAAAACGAGUCUAAACUUGAAAACCUCAUAACUUUUGAACCGUGAGGAACUACGUCGCCCAUAGCACCAUUUCGGAAAGCCCCAGAAACCAUAAUGGGCGGUGAAUAGGGGGCGCAAUUUUUCGGGCUCAAAUUCAGCCGUUUUGACCCUCAAACGGGCUGCGGAAAGUUAUGGCACGUAAAAAAGAUCGAAAGCGGAUUCUCAAGGUGUUUUUGAUGCUUUCUUAACGCCGUUAACCUCGAUGCACUUUUUCGCUCGAAACAAAACGGCAAGAAAAUCAUGCGCGCCCCACGGCCUUACACUUGGAUUGGCCGCGAAAAGGAUAUAUAGAAACGAGAGUGAUGUACUGACGGGUGCGAUCAUACCAGCACUAAUGCACCGGAUCCCAUCAGAACUCCGCAGUUAAGCGUGCUUGGGCGAGAGUAGUACUAGGAUGGGUGACCUCCCGGGAAGUCCUCGUGUUGCACCCCUUUUUAUUUUUUAAUUUUUUUUUAGCCUAAAACGAGUCUAAACUUGAAAACCCAUAACUUUUGAACCGUGAGGAACUACGUCGCCCAUAGCACCAUUUCGGAAAGCCCCAGAAACCAUAAUGGGCGGUGAAUAGGGGGCGCAAUUUUUCGGGCUCAAAUUCAGCCGUUUUGACCCUCAAACGGGCUGCGGAAAGUUAUGGCACGUAAAAAAGAUCGAAAGCGGAUUCUCAAGGUGUUUUUGAUGCUUUCUUAACGCCGUUAACCUCGAUGCACUUUUUCGCUCGAAACAAAACGGCAAGAAAAUCAUGCGCGCCCCACGGCCUUACACUUGGAUUGGCCGCGAAAAGGAUAUAUAGAAACGAGAGUGAUGUACUGUCGGGUGCGAUCAUACCAGCACUAAUGCACCGGAUCCCAUCAGAACUCCGCAGUUAAGCGUGCUUGGGCGAGAGUAGUACUAGGAUGGGUGACCUCCCGGGAAGUCCUCGUGUUGCACCCCUUUUUAUUUUUUAAUUUUUUUUAGCCUAAAACGAGUCUAAACUUGAAAACCCCAUAACUUUUGAACCGUGAGGAACUACGUCGCCCAUAGCACCAUUUCGGAAAGCCCCAGAAACCAUAAUGGGCGGUGAAUAGGGGGCGCAAUUUUUCGGGCUCAAAUUCAGCCGUUUUGACCCUCAAACGGGCUGCGGAAAGUUAUGGCACGUAAAAAAGAUCGAAAGCGGAUUCUCAAGGUGUUUUUGAUGCUUUCUUAACGCCGUUAACCUCGAUGCACUUUUUCGCUCGAAACAAAACGGCAAGAAAAUCAUGCGCGCCCCACGGCCUUACACUUGGAUUGGCCGCGAAAAGGAUAUAUAGAAACGAGAGUGAUGUACUGUCGGGUGCGAUCAUACCAGCACUAAUGCACCGGAUCCCAUCAGAACUCCGCAGUUAAGCGUGCUUGGGCGAGAGUAGUACUAGGAUGGGUGACCUCCCGGGAAGUCCUCGUGUUGCACCCCUUUUUAUUUUUUAAUUUUUUUUUAGCCUAAAACGAGUCUAAACUUGAAAACCUCAUAACUUUUGAACCGUGAGGAACUACGUCGCCCAUAGCACCAUUUCGGAAAGCCCCAGAAACCAUAAUGGGCGGUGAAUAGGGGGCGCAAUUUUUCGGGCUCAAAUUCAGCCGUUUUGACCCUCAAACGGGCUGCGGAAAGUUAUGGCACGUAAAAAAGAUCGAAAGCGGAUUCUCAAGGUGUUUUUGAUGCUUUCUUAACGCCGUUAACCUCGAUGCACUUUUUCGCUCGAAACAAAACGGCAAGAAAAUCAUGCGCGCCCCACGGCCUUACACUUGGAUUGGCCGCGAAAAGGAUAUAUAGAAACGAGAGUGAUGUACUGUCGGGUGCGAUCAUACCAGCACUAAUGCACCGGAUCCCAUCAGAACUCCGCAGUUAAGCGUGCUUGGGCGAGAGUAGUACUAGGAUGGGUGACCUCCCGGGAAGUCCUCGUGUUGCACCCCUUUUUAUUUUUUAAUUUUUUUUUAGCCUAAAACGAGUCUAAACUUGAAAACCUCAUAACUUUUGAACCGUGAGGAACUACGUCGCCCAUAGCACCAUUUCGGAAAGCCCCAGAAACCAUAAUGGGCGGUGAAUAGGGGGCGCAAUUUUUCGGGCUCAAAUUCAGCCGUUUUGACCCUCAAACGGGCUGCGGAAAGUUAUGGCACGUAAAAAAGAUCGAAAGCGGAUUCUCAAGGUGUUUUUGAUGCUUUCUUAACGCCGUUAACCUCGAUGCACUUUUUCGCUCGAAACAAAACGGCAAGAAAAUCAUGCGCGCCCCACGGCCUUACACUUGGAUUGGCCGCGAAAAGGAUAUAUAGAAACGAGAGUGAUGUACUGACGGGUGCGAUCAUACCAGCACUAAUGCACCGGAUCCCAUCAGAACUCCGCAGUUAAGCGUGCUUGGGCGAGAGUAGUACUAGGAUGGGUGACCUCCCGGGAAGUCCUCGUGUUGCACCCCUUUUUAUUUUUUAAUUUUUUUUUAGCCUAAAACGAGUCUAAACUUGAAAACCUCAUAACUUUUGAACCGUGAGGAACUACGUCGCCCAUAGCACCAUUUCGGAAAGCCCCAGAAACCAUAAUGGGCGGUGAAUAGGGGGCGCAAUUUUUCGGGCUCAAAUUCAGCCGUUUUGACCCUCAAACGGGCUGCGGAAAGUUAUGGCACGUAAAAAAGAUCGAAAGCGGAUUCUCAAGGUGUUUUUGAUGCUUUCUUAACGCCGUUAACCUCGAUGCACUUUUUCGCUCGAAACAAAACGGCAAGAAAAUCAUGCGCGCCCCACGGCCUUACACUUGGAUUGGCCGCGAAAAGGAUAUAUAGAAACGAGAGUGAUGUACUGACGGGUGCGAUCAUACCAGCACUAAUGCACCGGAUCCCAUCAGAACUCCGCAGUUAAGCGUGCUUGGGCGAGAGUAGUACUAGGAUGGGUGACCUCCCGGGAAGUCCUCGUGUUGCACCCCUUUUUAUUUUUUAAUUUUUUUUUAGCCUAAAACGAGUCUAAACUUGAAAACCUCAUAACUUUUGAACCGUGAGGAACUACGUCGCCCAUAGCACCAUUUCGGAAAGCCCCAGAAACCAUAAUGGGCGGUGAAUAGGGGGCGCAAUUUUUCGGGCUCAAAUUCAGCCGUUUUGACCCUCAAACGGGCUGCGGAAAGUUAUGGCACGUAAAAAAGAUCGAAAGCGGAUUCUCAAGGUGUUUUUGAUGCUUUCUUAACGCCGUUAACCUCGAUGCACUUUUUCGCUCGAAACAAAACGGCAAGAAAAUCAUGCGCGCCCCACGGCCUUACACUUGGAUUGGCCGCGAAAAGGAUAUAUAGAAACGAGAGUGAUGUACUGACGGGUGCGAUCAUACCAGCACUAAUGCACCGGAUCCCAUCAGAACUCCGCAGUUAAGCGUGCUUGGGCGAGAGUAGUACUAGGAUGGGUGACCUCCCGGGAAGUCCUCGUGUUGCACCCCUUUUUAUUUUUUAAUUUUUUUUUAGCCUAAAACGAGUCUAAACUUGAAAACCUCAUAACUUUUGAACCGUGAGGAACUACGUCGCCCAUAGCACCAUUUCGGAAGCCCCAGAAACCAUAAUGGGCGGUGAAUAGGGGGCGCAAUUUUUCGGGCUCAAAUUCAGCCGUUUUGACCCUCAAACGGGCUGCGGAAAGUUAUGGCACGUAAAAAAGAUCGAAAGCGGAUUCUCAAGGUGUUUUUGAUGCUUUCUUAACGCCGUUAACCUCGAUGCACUUUUUCGCUCGAAACAAAACGGCAAGAAAAUCAUGCGCGCCCCACGGCCUUACACUUGGAUUGGCCGCGAAAAGGAUAUAUAGAAACGAGAGUGAUGUACUGACGGGUGCGAUCAUACCAGCACUAAUGCACCGGAUCCCAUCAGAACUCCGCAGUUAAGCGUGCUUGGGCGAGAGUAGUACUAGGAUGGGUGACCUCCCGGGAAGUCCUCGUGUUGCACCCCUUUUUAUUUUUUAAUUUUUUUUUAGCCUAAAACGAGUCUAAACUUGAAAACCUCAUAACUUUUGAACCGUGAGGAACUACGUCGCCCAUAGCACCAUUUCGGAAAGCCCCAGAAACCAUAAUGGGCGGUGAAUAGGGGGCGCAAUUUUUCGGGCUCAAAUUCAGCCGUUUUGACCCUCAAACGGGCUGCGGAAAGUUAUGGCACGUAAAAAAGAUCGAAAGCGGAUUCUCAAGGUGUUUUUGAUGCUUUCUUAACGCCGUUAACCUCGAUGCACUUUUUCGCUCGAAACAAAACGGCAAGAAAAUCAUGCGCGCCCCACGGCCUUACACUUGGAUUGGCCGCGAAAAGGAUAUAUAGAAACGAGAGUGAUGUACUGACGGGUGCGAUCAUACCAGCACUAAUGCACCGGAUCCCAUCAGAACUCCGCAGUUAAGCGUGCUUGGGCGAGAGUAGUACUAGGAUGGGUGACCUCCCGGGAAGUCCUCGUGUUGCACCCCUUUUUAUUUUUUAAUUUUUUUUUAGCCUAAAACGAGUCUAAACUUGAAAACCUCAUAACUUUUGAACCGUGAGGAACUACGUCGCCCAUAGCACCAUUUCGGAGCCCCAGAAACCAUAAUGGGCGGUGAAUAGGGGGCGCAAUUUUUCGGGCUCAAAUUCAGCCGUUUUGACCCUCAAACGGGCUGCGGAAAGUUAUGGCACGUAAAAAAGAUCGAAAGCGGAUUCUCAAGGUGUUUUUGAUGCUUUCUUAACGCCGUUAACCUCGAUGCACUUUUUCGCUCGAAACAAAACGGCAAGAAAAUCAUGCGCGCCCCACGGCCUUACACUUGGAUUGGCCGCGAAAAGGAUAUAUAGAAACGAGAGUGAUGUACUGACGGGUGCGAUCAUACCAGCACUAAUGCACCGGAUCCCAUCAGAACUCCGCAGUUAAGCGUGCUUGGGCGAGAGUAGUACUAGGAUGGGUGACCUCCCGGGAAGUCCUCGUGUUGCACCCCUUUUUAUUUUUUAAUUUUUUUUUAGCCUAAAACGAGUCUAAACUUGAAAACCUCAUAACUUUUGAACCGUGAGGAACUACGUCGCCCAUAGCACCAUUUCGGAAAGCCCCAGAAACCAUAAUGGGCGGUGAAUAGGGGGCGCAAUUUUUCGGGCUCAAAUUCAGCCGUUUUGACCCUCAAACGGGCUGCGGAAAGUUAUGGCACGUAAAAAAGAUCGAAAGCGGAUUCUCAAGGUGUUUUUGAUGCUUUCUUAACGCCGUUAACCUCGAUGCACUUUUUCGCUCGAAACAAAACGGCAAGAAAAUCAUGCGCGCCCCACGGCCUUACACUUGGAUUGGCCGCGAAAAGGAUAUAUAGAAACGAGAGUGAUGUACUGACGGGUGCGAUCAUACCAGCACUAAUGCACCGGAUCCCAUCAGAACUCCGCAGUUAAGCGUGCUUGGGCGAGAGUAGUACUAGGAUGGGUGACCUCCCGGGAAGUCCUCGUGUUGCACCCCUUUUUAUUUUUUAAUUUUUUUUUAGCCUAAAACGAGUCUAAACUUGAAAACCUCAUAACUUUUGAACCGUGAGGAACUACGUCGCCCAUAGCACCAUUUCGGAAAGCCCCAGAAACCAUAAUGGGCGGUGAAUAGGGGGCGCAAUUUUUCGGGCUCAAAUUCAGCCGUUUUGACCCUCAAACGGGCUGCGGAAAGUUAUGGCACGUAAAAAAGAUCGAAAGCGGAUUCUCAAGGUGUUUUUGAUGCUUUCUUAACGCCGUUAACCUCGAUGCACUUUUUCGCUCGAAACAAAACGGCAAGAAAAUCAUGCGCGCCCCACGGCCUUACACUUGGAUUGGCCGCGAAAAGGAUAUAUAGAAACGAGAGUGAUGUACUGACGGGUGCGAUCAUACCAGCACUAAUGCACCGGAUCCCAUCAGAACUCCGCAGUUAAGCGUGCUUGGGCGAGAGUAGUACUAGGAUGGGUGACCUCCCGGGAAGUCCUCGUGUUGCACCCCUUUUUAUUUUUUAAUUUUUUUUAGCCUAAAACGAGUCUAAACUUGAAAACCUCAUAACUUUUGAACCGUGAGGAACUACGUCGCCCAUAGCACCAUUUCGGAAAGCCCCAGAAACCAUAAUGGGCGGUGAAUAGGGGGCGCAAUUUUUCGGGCUCAAAUUCAGCCGUUUUGACCCUCAAACGGGCUGCGGAAAGUUAUGGCACGUAAAAAAGAUCGAAAGCGGAUUCUCAAGGUGUUUUUGAUGCUUUCUUAACGCCGUUAACCUCGAUGCACUUUUUCGCUCGAAACAAAACGGCAAGAAAAUCAUGCGCGCCCCACGGCCUUACACUUGGAUUGGCCGCGAAAAGGAUAUAUAGAAACGAGAGUGAUGUACUGACGGGUGCGAUCAUACCAGCACUAAUGCACCGGAUCCCAUCAGAACUCCGCAGUUAAGCGUGCUUGGGCGAGAGUAGUACUAGGAUGGGUGACCUCCCGGGAAGUCCUCGUGUUGCACCCCUUUUUAUUUUUUAAUUUUUUUUUAGCCUAAAACGAGUCUAAACUUGAAAACCUCAUAACUUUUGAACCGUGAGGAACUACGUCGCCCAUAGCACCAUUUCGGAAAGCCCCAGAAACCAUAAUGGGCGGUGAAUAGGGGGCGCAAUUUUUCGGGCUCAAAUUCAGCCGUUUUGACCCUCAAACGGGCUGCGGAAAGUUAUGGCACGUAAAAAAGAUCGAAAGCGGAUUCUCAAGGUGUUUUUGAUGCUUUCUUAACGCCGUUAACCUCGAUGCACUUUUUCGCUCGAAACAAAACGGCAAGAAAAUCAUGCGCGCCCCACGGCCUUACACUUGGAUUGGCCGCGAAAAGGAUAUAUAGAAACGAGAGUGAUGUACUGACGGGUGCGAUCAUACCAGCACUAAUGCACCGGAUCCCAUCAGAACUCCGCAGUUAAGCGUGCUUGGGCGAGAGUAGUACUAGGAUGGGUGACCUCCCGGGAAGUCCUCGUGUUGCACCCCUUUUUAUUUUUUAAUUUUUUUUUAGCCUAAAACGAGUCUAAACUUGAAAACCUCAUAACUUUUGAACCGUGAGGAACUACGUCGCCCAUAGCACCAUUUCGGAAAGCCCCAGAAACCAUAAUGGGCGGUGAAUAGGGGGCGCAAUUUUUCGGGCUCAAAUUCAGCCGUUUUGACCCUCAAACGGGCUGCGGAAAGUUAUGGCACGUAAAAAAGAUCGAAAGCGGAUUCUCAAGGUGUUUUUGAUGCUUUCUUAACGCCGUUAACCUCGAUGCACUUUUUCGCUCGAAACAAAACGGCAAGAAAAUCAUGCGCGCCCCACGGCCUUACACUUGGAUUGGCCGCGAAAAGGAUAUAUAGAAACGAGAGUGAUGUACUGACGGGUGCGAUCAUACCAGCACUAAUGCACCGGAUCCCAUCAGAACUCCGCAGUUAAGCGUGCUUGGGCGAGAGUAGUACUAGGAUGGGUGACCUCCCGGGAAGUCCUCGUGUUGCACCCCUUUUUAUUUUUUAAUUUUUUUUUAGCCUAAAACGAGUCUAAACUUGAAAACCUCAUAACUUUUGAACCGUGAGGAACUACGUCGCCCAUAGCACCAUUUCGGAAAGCCCCAGAAACCAUAAUGGGCGGUGAAUAGGGGGCGCAAUUUUUCGGGCUCAAAUUCAGCCGUUUUGACCCUCAAACGGGCUGCGGAAAGUUAUGGCACGUAAAAAAGAUCGAAAGCGGAUUCUCAAGGUGUUUUUGAUGCUUUCUUAACGCCGUUAACCUCGAUGCACUUUUUCGCUCGAAACAAAACGGCAAGAAAAUCAUGCGCGCCCCACGGCCUUACACUUGGAUUGGCCGCGAAAAGGAUAUAUAGAAACGAGAGUGAUGUACUGACGGGUGCGAUCAUACCAGCACUAAUGCACCGGAUCCCAUCAGAACUCCGCAGUUAAGCGUGCUUGGGCGAGAGUAGUACUAGGAUGGGUGACCUCCCGGGAAGUCCUCGUGUUGCACCCCUUUUUAUUUUUUAAUUUUUUUUUAGCCUAAAACGAGUCUAAACUUGAAAACCUCAUAACUUUUGAACCGUGAGGAACUACGUCGCCCAUAGCACCAUUUCGGAAAGCCCCAGAAACCAUAAUGGGCGGUGAAUAGGGGGCGCAAUUUUUCGGGCUCAAAUUCAGCCGUUUUGACCCUCAAACGGGCUGCGGAAAGUUAUGGCACGUAAAAAAGAUCGAAAGCGGAUUCUCAAGGUGUUUUUGAUGCUUUCUUAACGCCGUUAACCUCGAUGCACUUUUUCGCUCGAAACAAAACGGCAAGAAAAUCAUGCGCGCCCCACGGCCUUACACUUGGAUUGGCCGCGAAAAGGAUAUAUAGAAACGAGAGUGAUGUACUGACGGGUGCGAUCAUACCAGCACUAAUGCACCGGAUCCCAUCAGAACUCCGCAGUUAAGCGUGCUUGGGCGAGAGUAGUACUAGGAUGGGUGACCUCCCGGGAAGUCCUCGUGUUGCACCCCUUUUUAUUUUUUAAUUUUUUUUUAGCCUAAAACGAGUCUAAACUUGAAAACCUCAUAACUUUUGAACCGUGAGGAACUACGUCGCCCAUAGCACCAUUUCGGAAAGCCCCAGAAACCAUAAUGGGCGGUGAAUAGGGGGCGCAAUUUUUCGGGCUCAAAUUCAGCCGUUUUGACCCUCAAACGGGCUGCGGAAAGUUAUGGCACGUAAAAAAGAUCGAAAGCGGAUUCUCAAGGUGUUUUUGAUGCUUUCUUAACGCCGUUAACCUCGAUGCACUUUUUCGCUCGAAACAAAACGGCAAGAAAAUCAUGCGCGCCCCACGGCCUUACACUUGGAUUGGCCGCGAAAAGGAUAUAUAGAAACGAGAGUGAUGUACUGACGGGUGCGAUCAUACCAGCACUAAUGCACCGGAUCCCAUCAGAACUCCGCAGUUAAGCGUGCUUGGGCGAGAGUAGUACUAGGAUGGGUGACCUCCCGGGAAGUCCUCGUGUUGCACCCCUUUUUAUUUUUUAAUUUUUUUUUAGCCUAAAACGAGUCUAAACUUGAAAACCUCAUAACUUUUGAACCGUGAGGAACUACGUCGCCCAUAGCACCAUUUCGGAAAGCCCCAGAAACCAUAAUGGGCGGUGAAUAGGGGGCGCAAUUUUUCGGGCUCAAAUUCAGCCGUUUUGACCCUCAAACGGGCUGCGGAAAGUUAUGGCACGUAAAAAAGAUCGAAAGCGGAUUCUCAAGGUGUUUUUGAUGCUUUCUUAACGCCGUUAACCUCGAUGCACUUUUUCGCUCGAAACAAAACGGCAAGAAAAUCAUGCGCGCCCCACGGCCUUACACUUGGAUUGGCCGCGAAAAGGAUAUAUAGAAACGAGAGUGAUGUACUGACGGGUGCGAUCAUACCAGCACUAAUGCACCGGAUCCCAUCAGAACUCCGCAGUUAAGCGUGCUUGGGCGAGAGUAGUACUAGGAUGGGUGACCUCCCGGGAAGUCCUCGUGUUGCACCCCUUUUUAUUUUUUAAUUUUUUUUUAGCCUAAAACGAGUCUAAACUUGAAAACCUCAUAACUUUUGAACCGUGAGGAACUACGUCGCCCAUAGCACCAUUUCGGAAAGCCCCAGAAACCAUAAUGGGCGGUGAAUAGGGGGCGCAAUUUUUCGGGCUCAAAUUCAGCCGUUUUGACCCUCAAACGGGCUGCGGAAAGUUAUGGCACGUAAAAAAGAUCGAAAGCGGAUUCUCAAGGUGUUUUUGAUGCUUUCUUAACGCCGUUAACCUCGAUGCACUUUUUCGCUCGAAACAAAACGGCAAGAAAAUCAUGCGCGCCCCACGGCCUUACACUUGGAUUGGCCGCGAAAAGGAUAUAUAGAAACGAGAGUGAUGUACUGACGGGUGCGAUCAUACCAGCACUAAUGCACCGGAUCCCAUCAGAACUCCGCAGUUAAGCGUGCUUGGGCGAGAGUAGUACUAGGAUGGGUGACCUCCCGGGAAGUCCUCGUGUUGCACCCCUUUUUAUUUUUUAAUUUUUUUUUAGCCUAAAACGAGUCUAAACUUGAAAACCUCAUAACUUUUGAACCGUGAGGAACUACGUCGCCCAUAGCACCAUUUCGGAAAGCCCCAGAAACCAUAAUGGGCGGUGAAUAGGGGGCGCAAUUUUUCGGGCUCAAAUUCAGCCGUUUUGACCCUCAAACGGGCUGCGGAAAGUUAUGGCACGUAAAAAAGAUCGAAAGCGGAUUCUCAAGGUGUUUUUGAUGCUUUCUUAACGCCGUUAACCUCGAUGCACUUUUUCGCUCGAAACAAAACGGCAAGAAAAUCAUGCGCGCCCCACGGCCUUACACUUGGAUUGGCCGCGAAAAGGAUAUAUAGAAACGAGAGUGAUGUACUGACGGGUGCGAUCAUACCAGCACUAAUGCACCGGAUCCCAUCAGAACUCCGCAGUUAAGCGUGCUUGGGCGAGAGUAGUACUAGGAUGGGUGACCUCCCGGGAAGUCCUCGUGUUGCACCCCUUUUUAUUUUUUAAUUUUUUUUUAGCCUAAAACGAGUCUAAACUUGAAAACCUCAUAACUUUUGAACCGUGAGGAACUACGUCGCCCAUAGCACCAUUUCGGAAAGCCCCAGAAACCAUAAUGGGCGGUGAAUAGGGGGCGCAAUUUUUCGGGCUCAAAUUCAGCCGUUUUGACCCUCAAACGGGCUGCGGAAAGUUAUGGCACGUAAAAAAGAUCGAAAGCGGAUUCUCAAGGUGUUUUUGAUGCUUUCUUAACGCCGUUAACCUCGAUGCACUUUUUCGCUCGAAACAAAACGGCAAGAAAAUCAUGCGCGCCCCACGGCCUUACACUUGGAUUGGCCGCGAAAAGGAUAUAUAGAAACGAGAGUGAUGUACUGACGGGUGCGAUCAUACCAGCACUAAUGCACCGGAUCCCAUCAGAACUCCGCAGUUAAGCGUGCUUGGGCGAGAGUAGUACUAGGAUGGGUGACCUCCCGGGAAGUCCUCGUGUUGCACCCCUUUUUAUUUUUUAAUUUUUUUUUAGCCUAAAACGAGUCUAAACUUGAAAACCUCAUAACUUUUGAACCGUGAGGAACUACGUCGCCCAUAGCACCAUUUCGGAAAGCCCCAGAAACCAUAAUGGGCGGUGAAUAGGGGGCGCAAUUUUUCGGGCUCAAAUUCAGCCGUUUUGACCCUCAAACGGGCUGCGGAAAGUUAUGGCACGUAAAAAAGAUCGAAAGCGGAUUCUCAAGGUGUUUUUGAUGCUUUCUUAACGCCGUUAACCUCGAUGCACUUUUUCGCUCGAAACAAAACGGCAAGAAAAUCAUGCGCGCCCCACGGCCUUACACUUGGAUUGGCCGCGAAAAGGAUAUAUAGAAACGAGAGUGAUGUACUGACGGGUGCGAUCAUACCAGCACUAAUGCACCGGAUCCCAUCAGAACUCCGCAGUUAAGCGUGCUUGGGCGAGAGUAGUACUAGGAUGGGUGACCUCCCGGGAAGUCCUCGUGUUGCACCCCUUUUUAUUUUUUAAUUUUUUUUUAGCCUAAAACGAGUCUAAACUUGAAAACCUCAUAACUUUUGAACCGUGAGGAACUACGUCGCCCAUAGCACCAUUUCGGAAAGCCCCAGAAACCAUAAUGGGCGGUGAAUAGGGGGCGCAAUUUUUCGGGCUCAAAUUCAGCCGUUUUGACCCUCAAACGGGCUGCGGAAAGUUAUGGCACGUAAAAAAGAUCGAAAGCGGAUUCUCAAGGUGUUUUUGAUGCUUUCUUAACGCCGUUAACCUCGAUGCACUUUUUCGCUCGAAACAAAACGGCAAGAAAAUCAUGCGCGCCCCACGGCCUUACACUUGGAUUGGCCGCGAAAAGGAUAUAUAGAAACGAGAGUGAUGUACUGACGGGUGCGAUCAUACCAGCACUAAUGCACCGGAUCCCAUCAGAACUCCGCAGUUAAGCGUGCUUGGGCGAGAGUAGUACUAGGAUGGGUGACCUCCCGGGAAGUCCUCGUGUUGCACCCCUUUUUAUUUUUUAAUUUUUUUUAGCCUAAAACGAGUCUAAACUUGAAAACCUCAUAACUUUUGAACCGUGAGGAACUACGUCGCCCAUAGCACCAUUUCGGAAAGCCCCAGAAACCAUAAUGGGCGGUGAAUAGGGGGCGCAAUUUUUCGGGCUCAAAUUCAGCCGUUUUGACCCUCAAACGGGCUGCGGAAAGUUAUGGCACGUAAAAAAGAUCGAAAGCGGAUUCUCAAGGUGUUUUUGAUGCUUUCUUAACGCCGUUAACCUCGAUGCACUUUUUCGCUCGAAACAAAACGGCAAGAAAAUCAUGCGCGCCCCACGGCCUUACACUUGGAUUGGCCGCGAAAAGGAUAUAUAGAAACGAGAGUGAUGUACUGUCGGGUGCGAUCAUACCAGCACUAAUGCACCGGAUCCCAUCAGAACUCCGCAGUUAAGCGUGCUUGGGCGAGAGUAGUACUAGGAUGGGUGACCUCCCGGGAAGUCCUCGUGUUGCACCCCUUUUUAUUUUUUAAUUUUUUUUUAGCCUAAAACGAGUCUAAACUUGAAAACCUCAUAACUUUUGAACCGUGAGGAACUACGUCGCCCAUAGCACCAUUUCGGAAAGCCCCAGAAACCAUAAUGGGCGGUGAAUAGGGGGCGCAAUUUUUCGGGCUCAAAUUCAGCCGUUUUGACCCUCAAACGGGCUGCGGAAAGUUAUGGCACGUAAAAAAGAUCGAAAGCGGAUUCUCAAGGUGUUUUUGAUGCUUUCUUAACGCCGUUAACCUCGAUGCACUUUUUCGCUCGAAACAAAACGGCAAGAAAAUCAUGCGCGCCCCACGGCCUUACACUUGGAUUGGCCGCGAAAAGGAUAUAUAGAAACGAGAGUGAUGUACUGACGGGUGCGAUCAUACCAGCACUAAUGCACCGGAUCCCAUCAGAACUCCGCAGUUAAGCGUGCUUGGGCGAGAGUAGUACUAGGAUGGGUGACCUCCCGGGAAGUCCUCGUGUUGCACCCCUUUUUAUUUUUUAAUUUUUUUUUAGCCUAAAACGAGUCUAAACUUGAAAACCUCAUAACUUUUGAACCGUGAGGAACUACGUCGCCCAUAGCACCAUUUCGGAAAGCCCCAGAAACCAUAAUGGGCGGUGAAUAGGGGGCGCAAUUUUUCGGGCUCAAAUUCAGCCGUUUUGACCCUCAAACGGGCUGCGGAAAGUUAUGGCACGUAAAAAAGAUCGAAAGCGGAUUCUCAAGGUGUUUUUGAUGCUUUCUUAACGCCGUUAACCUCGAUGCACUUUUUCGCUCGAAACAAAACGGCAAGAAAAUCAUGCGCGCCCCACGGCCUUACACUUGGAUUGGCCGCGAAAAGGAUAUAUAGAAACGAGAGUGAUGUACUGACGGGUGCGAUCAUACCAGCACUAAUGCACCGGAUCCCAUCAGAACUCCGCAGUUAAGCGUGCUUGGGCGAGAGUAGUACUAGGAUGGGUGACCUCCCGGGAAGUCCUCGUGUUGCACCCCUUUUUAUUUUUUAAUUUUUUUUUAGCCUAAAACGAGUCUAAACUUGAAAACCUCAUAACUUUUGAACCGUGAGGAACUACGUCGCCCAUAGCACCAUUUCGGAAAGCCCCAGAAACCAUAAUGGGCGGUGAAUAGGGGGCGCAAUUUUUCGGGCUCAAAUUCAGCCGUUUUGACCCUCAAACGGGCUGCGGAAAGUUAUGGCACGUAAAAAAGAUCGAAAGCGGAUUCUCAAGGUGUUUUUGAUGCUUUCUUAACGCCGUUAACCUCGAUGCACUUUUUCGCUCGAAACAAAACGGCAAGAAAAUCAUGCGCGCCCCACGGCCUUACACUUGGAUUGGCCGCGAAAAGGAUAUAUAGAAACGAGAGUGAUGUACUGUCGGGUGCGAUCAUACCAGCACUAAUGCACCGGAUCCCAUCAGAACUCCGCAGUUAAGCGUGCUUGGGCGAGAGUAGUACUAGGAUGGGUGACCUCCCGGGAAGUCCUCGUGUUGCACCCCUUUUUAUUUUUUAAUUUUUUUUUAGCCUAAAACGAGUCUAAACUUGAAAACCUCAUAACUUUUGAACCGUGAGGAACUACGUCGCCCAUAGCACCAUUUCGGAAAGCCCCAGAAACCAUAAUGGGCGGUGAAUAGGGGGCGCAAUUUUUCGGGCUCAAAUUCAGCCGUUUUGACCCUCAAACGGGCUGCGGAAAGUUAUGGCACGUAAAAAAGAUCGAAAGCGGAUUCUCAAGGUGUUUUUGAUGCUUUCUUAACGCCGUUAACCUCGAUGCACUUUUUCGCUCGAAACAAAACGGCAAGAAAAUCAUGCGCGCCCCACGGCCUUACACUUGGAUUGGCCGCGAAAAGGAUAUAUAGAAACGAGAGUGAUGUACUGUCGGGUGCGAUCAUACCAGCACUAAUGCACCGGAUCCCAUCAGAACUCCGCAGUUAAGCGUGCUUGGGCGAGAGUAGUACUAGGAUGGGUGACCUCCCGGGAAGUCCUCGUGUUGCACCCCUUUUUAUUUUUUAAUUUUUUUUUAGCCUAAAACGAGUCUAAACUUGAAAACCUCAUAACUUUUGAACCGUGAGGAACUACGUCGCCCAUAGCACCAUUUCGGAAAGCCCCAGAAACCAUAAUGGGCGGUGAAUAGGGGGCGCAAUUUUUCGGGCUCAAAUUCAGCCGUUUUGACCCUCAAACGGGCUGCGGAAAGUUAUGGCACGUAAAAAAGAUCGAAAGCGGAUUCUCAAGGUGUUUUUGAUGCUUUCUUAACGCCGUUAACCUCGAUGCACUUUUUCGCUCGAAACAAAACGGCAAGAAAAUCAUGCGCGCCCCACGGCCUUACACUUGGAUUGGCCGCGAAAAGGAUAUAUAGAAACGAGAGUGAUGUACUGACGGGUGCGAUCAUACCAGCACUAAUGCACCGGAUCCCAUCAGAACUCCGCAGUUAAGCGUGCUUGGGCGAGAGUAGUACUAGGAUGGGUGACCUCCCGGGAAGUCCUCGUGUUGCACCCCUUUUUAUUUUUUAAUUUUUUUUUAGCCUAAAACGAGUCUAAACUUGAAAACCUCAUAACUUUUGAACCGUGAGGAACUACGUCGCCCAUAGCACCAUUUCGGAAAGCCCCAGAAACCAUAAUGGGCGGUGAAUAGGGGGCGCAAUUUUUCGGGCUCAAAUUCAGCCGUUUUGACCCUCAAACGGGCUGCGGAAAGUUAUGGCACGUAAAAAAGAUCGAAAGCGGAUUCUCAAGGUGUUUUUGAUGCUUUCUUAACGCCGUUAACCUCGAUGCACUUUUUCGCUCGAAACAAAACGGCAAGAAAAUCAUGCGCGCCCCACGGCCUUACACUUGGAUUGGCCGCGAAAAGGAUAUAUAGAAACGAGAGUGAUGUACUGACGGGUGCGAUCAUACCAGCACUAAUGCACCGGAUCCCAUCAGAACUCCGCAGUUAAGCGUGCUUGGGCGAGAGUAGUACUAGGAUGGGUGACCUCCCGGGAAGUCCUCGUGUUGCACCCCUUUUUAUUUUUUAAUUUUUUUUUAGCCUAAAACGAGUCUAAACUUGAAAACCCAUAACUUUUGAACCGUGAGGAACUACGUCGCCCAUAGCACCAUUUCGGAAAGCCCCAGAAACCAUAAUGGGCGGUGAAUAGGGGGCGCAAUUUUUCGGGCUCAAAUUCAGCCGUUUUGACCCUCAAACGGGCUGCGGAAAGUUAUGGCACGUAAAAAAGAUCGAAAGCGGAUUCUCAAGGUGUUUUUGAUGCUUUCUUAACGCCGUUAACCUCGAUGCACUUUUUCGCUCGAAACAAAACGGCAAGAAAAUCAUGCGCGCCCCACGGCCUUACACUUGGAUUGGCCGCGAAAAGGAUAUAUAGAAACGAGAGUGAUGUACUGUCGGGUGCGAUCAUACCAGCACUAAUGCACCGGAUCCCAUCAGAACUCCGCAGUUAAGCGUGCUUGGGCGAGAGUAGUACUAGGAUGGGUGACCUCCCGGGAAGUCCUCGUGUUGCACCCCUUUUUAUUUUUUAAUUUUUUUUUAGCCUAAAACGAGUCUAAACUUGAAAACCUCAUAACUUUUGAACCGUGAGGAACUACGUCGCCCAUAGCACCAUUUCGGAAAGCCCCAGAAACCAUAAUGGGCGGUGAAUAGGGGGCGCAAUUUUUCGGGCUCAAAUUCAGCCGUUUUGACCCUCAAACGGGCUGCGGAAAGUUAUGGCACGUAAAAAAGAUCGAAAGCGGAUUCUCAAGGUGUUUUUGAUGCUUUCUUAACGCCGUUAACCUCGAUGCACUUUUUCGCUCGAAACAAAACGGCAAGAAAAUCAUGCGCGCCCCACGGCCUUACACUUGGAUUGGCCGCGAAAAGGAUAUAUAGAAACGAGAGUGAUGUACUGUCGGGUGCGAUCAUACCAGCACUAAUGCACCGGAUCCCAUCAGAACUCCGCAGUUAAGCGUGCUUGGGCGAGAGUAGUACUAGGAUGGGUGACCUCCCGGGAAGUCCUCGUGUUGCACCCCUUUUUAUUUUUUAAUUUUUUUUUAGCCUAAAACGAGUCUAAACUUGAAAACCUCAUAACUUUUGAACCGUGAGGAACUACGUCGCCCAUAGCACCAUUUCGGAAAGCCCCAGAAACCAUAAUGGGCGGUGAAUAGGGGGCGCAAUUUUUCGGGCUCAAAUUCAGCCGUUUUGACCCUCAAACGGGCUGCGGAAAGUUAUGGCACGUAAAAAAGAUCGAAAGCGGAUUCUCAAGGUGUUUUUGAUGCUUUCUUAACGCCGUUAACCUCGAUGCACUUUUUCGCUCGAAACAAAACGGCAAGAAAAUCAUGCGCGCCCCACGGCCUUACACUUGGAUUGGCCGCGAAAAGGAUAUAUAGAAACGAGAGUGAUGUACUGUCGGGUGCGAUCAUACCAGCACUAAUGCACCGGAUCCCAUCAGAACUCCGCAGUUAAGCGUGCUUGGGCGAGAGUAGUACUAGGAUGGGUGACCUCCCGGGAAGUCCUCGUGUUGCACCCCUUUUUAUUUUUUAAUUUUUUUUUAGCCUAAAACGAGUCUAAACUUGAAAACCUCAUAACUUUUGAACCGUGAGGAACUACGUCGCCCAUAGCACCAUUUCGGAAAGCCCCAGAAACCAUAAUGGGCGGUGAAUAGGGGGCGCAAUUUUUCGGGCUCAAAUUCAGCCGUUUUGACCCUCAAACGGGCUGCGGAAAGUUAUGGCACGUAAAAAAGAUCGAAAGCGGAUUCUCAAGGUGUUUUUGAUGCUUUCUUAACGCCGUUAACCUCGAUGCACUUUUUCGCUCGAAACAAAACGGCAAGAAAAUCAUGCGCGCCCCACGGCCUUACACUUGGAUUGGCCGCGAAAAGGAUAUAUAGAAACGAGAGUGAUGUACUGUCGGGUGCGAUCAUACCAGCACUAAUGCACCGGAUCCCAUCAGAACUCCGCAGUUAAGCGUGCUUGGGCGAGAGUAGUACUAGGAUGGGUGACCUCCCGGGAAGUCCUCGUGUUGCACCCCUUUUUAUUUUUUAAUUUUUUUUUAGCCUAAAACGAGUCUAAACUUGAAAACCUCAUAACUUUUGAACCGUGAGGAACUACGUCGCCCAUAGCACCAUUUCGGAAAGCCCCAGAAACCAUAAUGGGCGGUGAAUAGGGGGCGCAAUUUUUCGGGCUCAAAUUCAGCCGUUUUGACCCUCAAACGGGCUGCGGAAAGUUAUGGCACGUAAAAAAGAUCGAAAGCGGAUUCUCAAGGUGUUUUUGAUGCUUUCUUAACGCCGUUAACCUCGAUGCACUUUUUCGCUCGAAACAAAACGGCAAGAAAAUCAUGCGCGCCCCACGGCCUUACACUUGGAUUGGCCGCGAAAAGGAUAUAUAGAAACGAGAGUGAUGUACUGUCGGGUGCGAUCAUACCAGCACUAAUGCACCGGAUCCCAUCAGAACUCCGCAGUUAAGCGUGCUUGGGCGAGAGUAGUACUAGGAUGGGUGACCUCCCGGGAAGUCCUCGUGUUGCACCCCUUUUUAUUUUUUAAUUUUUUUUUAGCCUAAAACGAGUCUAAACUUGAAAACCUCAUAACUUUUGAACCGUGAGGAACUACGUCGCCCAUAGCACCAUUUCGGAAAGCCCCAGAAACCAUAAUGGGCGGUGAAUAGGGGGCGCAAUUUUUCGGGCUCAAAUUCAGCCGUUUUGACCCUCAAACGGGCUGCGGAAAGUUAUGGCACGUAAAAAAGAUCGAAAGCGGAUUCUCAAGGUGUUUUUGAUGCUUUCUUAACGCCGUUAACCUCGAUGCACUUUUUCGCUCGAAACAAAACGGCAAGAAAAUCAUGCGCGCCCCACGGCCUUACACUUGGAUUGGCCGCGAAAAGGAUAUAUAGAAACGAGAGUGAUGUACUGUCGGGUGCGAUCAUACCAGCACUAAUGCACCGGAUCCCAUCAGAACUCCGCAGUUAAGCGUGCUUGGGCGAGAGUAGUACUAGGAUGGGUGACCUCCCGGGAAGUCCUCGUGUUGCACCCCUUUUUAUUUUUUAAUUUUUUUUUAGCCUAAAACGAGUCUAAACUUGAAAACCUCAUAACUUUUGAACCGUGAGGAACUACGUCGCCCAUAGCACCAUUUCGGAAAGCCCCAGAAACCAUAAUGGGCGGUGAAUAGGGGGCGCAAUUUUUCGGGCUCAAAUUCAGCCGUUUUGACCCUCAAACGGGCUGCGGAAAGUUAUGGCACGUAAAAAAGAUCGAAAGCGGAUUCUCAAGGUGUUUUUGAUGCUUUCUUAACGCCGUUAACCUCGAUGCACUUUUUCGCUCGAAACAAAACGGCAAGAAAAUCAUGCGCGCCCCACGGCCUUACACUUGGAUUGGCCGCGAAAAGGAUAUAUAGAAACGAGAGUGAUGUACUGUCGGGUGCGAUCAUACCAGCACUAAUGCACCGGAUCCCAUCAGAACUCCGCAGUUAAGCGUGCUUGGGCGAGAGUAGUACUAGGAUGGGUGACCUCCCGGGAAGUCCUCGUGUUGCACCCCUUUUUAUUUUUUAAUUUUUUUUUAGCCUAAAACGAGUCUAAACUUGAAAACCUCAUAACUUUUGAACCGUGAGGAACUACGUCGCCCAUAGCACCAUUUCGGAAAGCCCCAGAAACCAUAAUGGGCGGUGAAUAGGGGGCGCAAUUUUUCGGGCUCAAAUUCAGCCGUUUUGACCCUCAAACGGGCUGCGGAAAGUUAUGGCACGUAAAAAAGAUCGAAAGCGGAUUCUCAAGGUGUUUUUGAUGCUUUCUUAACGCCGUUAACCUCGAUGCACUUUUUCGCUCGAAACAAAACGGCAAGAAAAUCAUGCGCGCCCCACGGCCUUACACUUGGAUUGGCCGCGAAAAGGAUAUAUAGAAACGAGAGUGAUGUACUGUCGGGUGCGAUCAUACCAGCACUAAUGCACCGGAUCCCAUCAGAACUCCGCAGUUAAGCGUGCUUGGGCGAGAGUAGUACUAGGAUGGGUGACCUCCCGGGAAGUCCUCGUGUUGCACCCCUUUUUAUUUUUUAAUUUUUUUUUAGCCUAAAACGAGUCUAAACUUGAAAACCCAUAACUUUUGAACCGUGAGGAACUACGUCGCCCAUAGCACCAUUUCGGAAAGCCCCAGAAACCAUAAUGGGCGGUGAAUAGGGGGCGCAAUUUUUCGGGCUCAAAUUCAGCCGUUUUGACCCUCAAACGGGCUGCGGAAAGUUAUGGCACGUAAAAAAGAUCGAAAGCGGAUUCUCAAGGUGUUUUUGAUGCUUUCUUAACGCCGUUAACCUCGAUGCACUUUUUCGCUCGAAACAAAACGGCAAGAAAAUCAUGCGCGCCCCACGGCCUUACACUUGGAUUGGCCGCGAAAAGGAUAUAUAGAAACGAGAGUGAUGUACUGUCGGGUGCGAUCAUACCAGCACUAAUGCACCGGAUCCCAUCAGAACUCCGCAGUUAAGCGUGCUUGGGCGAGAGUAGUACUAGGAUGGGUGACCUCCCGGGAAGUCCUCGUGUUGCACCCCUUUUUAUUUUUUAAUUUUUUUUUAGCCUAAAACGAGUCUAAACUUGAAAACCCAUAACUUUUGAACCGUGAGGAACUACGUCGCCCAUAGCACCAUUUCGGAAAGCCCCAGAAACCAUAAUGGGCGGUGAAUAGGGGGCGCAAUUUUUCGGGCUCAAAUUCAGCCGUUUUGACCCUCAAACGGGCUGCGGAAAGUUAUGGCACGUAAAAAAGAUCGAAAGCGGAUUCUCAAGGUGUUUUUGAUGCUUUCUUAACGCCGUUAACCUCGAUGCACUUUUUCGCUCGAAACAAAACGGCAAGAAAAUCAUGCGCGCCCCACGGCCUUACACUUGGAUUGGCCGCGAAAAGGAUAUAUAGAAACGAGAGUGAUGUACUGUCGGGUGCGAUCAUACCAGCACUAAUGCACCGGAUCCCAUCAGAACUCCGCAGUUAAGCGUGCUUGGGCGAGAGUAGUACUAGGAUGGGUGACCUCCCGGGAAGUCCUCGUGUUGCACCCCUUUUUAUUUUUUAAUUUUUUUUUAGCCUAAAACGAGUCUAAACUUGAAAACCCAUAACUUUUGAACCGUGAGGAACUACGUCGCCCAUAGCACCAUUUCGGAAAGCCCCAGAAACCAUAAUGGGCGGUGAAUAGGGGGCGCAAUUUUUCGGGCUCAAAUUCAGCCGUUUUGACCCUCAAACGGGCUGCGGAAAGUUAUGGCACGUAAAAAAGAUCGAAAGCGGAUUCUCAAGGUGUUUUUGAUGCUUUCUUAACGCCGUUAACCUCGAUGCACUUUUUCGCUCGAAACAAAACGGCAAGAAAAUCAUGCGCGCCCCACGGCCUUACACUUGGAUUGGCCGCGAAAAGGAUAUAUAGAAACGAGAGUGAUGUACUGUCGGGUGCGAUCAUACCAGCACUAAUGCACCGGAUCCCAUCAGAACUCCGCAGUUAAGCGUGCUUGGGCGAGAGUAGUACUAGGAUGGGUGACCUCCCGGGAAGUCCUCGUGUUGCACCCCUUUUUAUUUUUUAAUUUUUUUUUAGCCUAAAACGAGUCUAAACUUGAAAACCCAUAACUUUUGAACCGUGAGGAACUACGUCGCCCAUAGCACCAUUUCGGAAAGCCCCAGAAACCAUAAUGGGCGGUGAAUAGGGGGCGCAAUUUUUCGGGCUCAAAUUCAGCCGUUUUGACCCUCAAACGGGCUGCGGAAAGUUAUGGCACGUAAAAAAGAUCGAAAGCGGAUUCUCAAGGUGUUUUUGAUGCUUUCUUAACGCCGUUAACCUCGAUGCACUUUUUCGCUCGAAACAAAACGGCAAGAAAAUCAUGCGCGCCCCACGGCCUUACACUUGGAUUGGCCGCGAAAAGGAUAUAUAGAAACGAGAGUGAUGUACUGUCGGGUGCGAUCAUACCAGCACUAAUGCACCGGAUCCCAUCAGAACUCCGCAGUUAAGCGUGCUUGGGCGAGAGUAGUACUAGGAUGGGUGACCUCCCGGGAAGUCCUCGUGUUGCACCCCUUUUUAUUUUUUAAUUUUUUUUUAGCCUAAAACGAGUCUAAACUUGAAAACCCAUAACUUUUGAACCGUGAGGAACUACGUCGCCCAUAGCACCAUUUCGGAAAGCCCCAGAAACCAUAAUGGGCGGUGAAUAGGGGGCGCAAUUUUUCGGGCUCAAAUUCAGCCGUUUUGACCCUCAAACGGGCUGCGGAAAGUUAUGGCACGUAAAAAAGAUCGAAAGCGGAUUCUCAAGGUGUUUUUGAUGCUUUCUUAACGCCGUUAACCUCGAUGCACUUUUUCGCUCGAAACAAAACGGCAAGAAAAUCAUGCGCGCCCCACGGCCUUACACUUGGAUUGGCCGCGAAAAGGAUAUAUAGAAACGAGAGUGAUGUACUGUCGGGUGCGAUCAUACCAGCACUAAUGCACCGGAUCCCAUCAGAACUCCGCAGUUAAGCGUGCUUGGGCGAGAGUAGUACUAGGAUGGGUGACCUCCCGGGAAGUCCUCGUGUUGCACCCCUUUUUAUUUUUUAAUUUUUUUUUAGCCUAAAACGAGUCUAAACUUGAAAACCCAUAACUUUUGAACCGUGAGGAACUACGUCGCCCAUAGCACCAUUUCGGAAAGCCCCAGAAACCAUAAUGGGCGGUGAAUAGGGGGCGCAAUUUUUCGGGCUCAAAUUCAGCCGUUUUGACCCUCAAACGGGCUGCGGAAAGUUAUGGCACGUAAAAAAGAUCGAAAGCGGAUUCUCAAGGUGUUUUUGAUGCUUUCUUAACGCCGUUAACCUCGAUGCACUUUUUCGCUCGAAACAAAACGGCAAGAAAAUCAUGCGCGCCCCACGGCCUUACACUUGGAUUGGCCGCGAAAAGGAUAUAUAGAAACGAGAGUGAUGUACUGUCGGGUGCGAUCAUACCAGCACUAAUGCACCGGAUCCCAUCAGAACUCCGCAGUUAAGCGUGCUUGGGCGAGAGUAGUACUAGGAUGGGUGACCUCCCGGGAAGUCCUCGUGUUGCACCCCUUUUUAUUUUUUAAUUUUUUUUUAGCCUAAAACGAGUCUAAACUUGAAAACCCAUAACUUUUGAACCGUGAGGAACUACGUCGCCCAUAGCACCAUUUCGGAAAGCCCCAGAAACCAUAAUGGGCGGUGAAUAGGGGGCGCAAUUUUUCGGGCUCAAAUUCAGCCGUUUUGACCCUCAAACGGGCUGCGGAAAGUUAUGGCACGUAAAAAAGAUCGAAAGCGGAUUCUCAAGGUGUUUUUGAUGCUUUCUUAACGCCGUUAACCUCGAUGCACUUUUUCGCUCGAAACAAAACGGCAAGAAAAUCAUGCGCGCCCCACGGCCUUACACUUGGAUUGGCCGCGAAAAGGAUAUAUAGAAACGAGAGUGAUGUACUGUCGGGUGCGAUCAUACCAGCACUAAUGCACCGGAUCCCAUCAGAACUCCGCAGUUAAGCGUGCUUGGGCGAGAGUAGUACUAGGAUGGGUGACCUCCCGGGAAGUCCUCGUGUUGCACCCCUUUUUAUUUUUUAAUUUUUUUUUAGCCUAAAACGAGUCUAAACUUGAAAACCCAUAACUUUUGAACCGUGAGGAACUACGUCGCCCAUAGCACCAUUUCGGAAAGCCCCAGAAACCAUAAUGGGCGGUGAAUAGGGGGCGCAAUUUUUCGGGCUCAAAUUCAGCCGUUUUGACCCUCAAACGGGCUGCGGAAAGUUAUGGCACGUAAAAAAGAUCGAAAGCGGAUUCUCAAGGUGUUUUUGAUGCUUUCUUAACGCCGUUAACCUCGAUGCACUUUUUCGCUCGAAACAAAACGGCAAGAAAAUCAUGCGCGCCCCACGGCCUUACACUUGGAUUGGCCGCGAAAAGGAUAUAUAGAAACGAGAGUGAUGUACUGUCGGGUGCGAUCAUACCAGCACUAAUGCACCGGAUCCCAUCAGAACUCCGCAGUUAAGCGUGCUUGGGCGAGAGUAGUACUAGGAUGGGUGACCUCCCGGGAAGUCCUCGUGUUGCACCCCUUUUUAUUUUUUAAUUUUUUUUUAGCCUAAAACGAGUCUAAACUUGAAAACCCAUAACUUUUGAACCGUGAGGAACUACGUCGCCCAUAGCACCAUUUCGGAAAGCCCCAGAAACCAUAAUGGGCGGUGAAUAGGGGGCGCAAUUUUUCGGGCUCAAAUUCAGCCGUUUUGACCCUCAAACGGGCUGCGGAAAGUUAUGGCACGUAAAAAAGAUCGAAAGCGGAUUCUCAAGGUGUUUUUGAUGCUUUCUUAACGCCGUUAACCUCGAUGCACUUUUUCGCUCGAAACAAAACGGCAAGAAAAUCAUGCGCGCCCCACGGCCUUACACUUGGAUUGGCCGCGAAAAGGAUAUAUAGAAACGAGAGUGAUGUACUGUCGGGUGCGAUCAUACCAGCACUAAUGCACCGGAUCCCAUCAGAACUCCGCAGUUAAGCGUGCUUGGGCGAGAGUAGUACUAGGAUGGGUGACCUCCCGGGAAGUCCUCGUGUUGCACCCCUUUUUAUUUUUUAAUUUUUUUUUAGCCUAAAACGAGUCUAAACUUGAAAACCCAUAACUUUUGAACCGUGAGGAACUACGUCGCCCAUAGCACCAUUUCGGAAAGCCCCAGAAACCAUAAUGGGCGGUGAAUAGGGGGCGCAAUUUUUCGGGCUCAAAUUCAGCCGUUUUGACCCUCAAACGGGCUGCGGAAAGUUAUGGCACGUAAAAAAGAUCGAAAGCGGAUUCUCAAGGUGUUUUUGAUGCUUUCUUAACGCCGUUAACCUCGAUGCACUUUUUCGCUCGAAACAAAACGGCAAGAAAAUCAUGCGCGCCCCACGGCCUUACACUUGGAUUGGCCGCGAAAAGGAUAUAUAGAAACGAGAGUGAUGUACUGUCGGGUGCGAUCAUACCAGCACUAAUGCACCGGAUCCCAUCAGAACUCCGCAGUUAAGCGUGCUUGGGCGAGAGUAGUACUAGGAUGGGUGACCUCCCGGGAAGUCCUCGUGUUGCACCCCUUUUUAUUUUUUAAUUUUUUUUUAGCCUAAAACGAGUCUAAACUUGAAAACCCAUAACUUUUGAACCGUGAGGAACUACGUCGCCCAUAGCACCAUUUCGGAAAGCCCCAGAAACCAUAAUGGGCGGUGAAUAGGGGGCGCAAUUUUUCGGGCUCAAAUUCAGCCGUUUUGACCCUCAAACGGGCUGCGGAAAGUUAUGGCACGUAAAAAAGAUCGAAAGCGGAUUCUCAAGGUGUUUUUGAUGCUUUCUUAACGCCGUUAACCUCGAUGCACUUUUUCGCUCGAAACAAAACGGCAAGAAAAUCAUGCGCGCCCCACGGCCUUACACUUGGAUUGGCCGCGAAAAGGAUAUAUAGAAACGAGAGUGAUGUACUGUCGGGUGCGAUCAUACCAGCACUAAUGCACCGGAUCCCAUCAGAACUCCGCAGUUAAGCGUGCUUGGGCGAGAGUAGUACUAGGAUGGGUGACCUCCCGGGAAGUCCUCGUGUUGCACCCCUUUUUAUUUUUUAAUUUUUUUUUAGCCUAAAACGAGUCUAAACUUGAAAACCCCAUAACUUUUGAACCGUGAGGAACUACGUCGCCCAUAGCACCAUUUCGGAAAGCCCCAGAAACCAUAAUGGGCGGUGAAUAGGGGGCGCAAUUUUUCGGGCUCAAAUUCAGCCGUUUUGACCCUCAAACGGGCUGCGGAAAGUUAUGGCACGUAAAAAAGAUCGAAAGCGGAUUCUCAAGGUGUUUUUGAUGCUUUCUUAACGCCGUUAACCUCGAUGCACUUUUUCGCUCGAAACAAAACGGCAAGAAAAUCAUGCGCGCCCCACGGCCUUACACUUGGAUUGGCCGCGAAAAGGAUAUAUAGAAACGAGAGUGAUGUACUGUCGGGUGCGAUCAUACCAGCACUAAUGCACCGGAUCCCAUCAGAACUCCGCAGUUAAGCGUGCUUGGGCGAGAGUAGUACUAGGAUGGGUGACCUCCCGGGAAGUCCUCGUGUUGCACCCCUUUUUAUUUUUUAAUUUUUUUUUAGCCUAAAACGAGUCUAAACUUGAAAACCCAUAACUUUUGAACCGUGAGGAACUACGUCGCCCAUAGCACCAUUUCGGAAAGCCCCAGAAACCAUAAUGGGCGGUGAAUAGGGGGCGCAAUUUUUCGGGCUCAAAUUCAGCCGUUUUGACCCUCAAACGGGCUGCGGAAAGUUAUGGCACGUAAAAAAGAUCGAAAGCGGAUUCUCAAGGUGUUUUUGAUGCUUUCUUAACGCCGUUAACCUCGAUGCACUUUUUCGCUCGAAACAAAACGGCAAGAAAAUCAUGCGCGCCCCACGGCCUUACACUUGGAUUGGCCGCGAAAAGGAUAUAUAGAAACGAGAGUGAUGUACUGUCGGGUGCGAUCAUACCAGCACUAAUGCACCGGAUCCCAUCAGAACUCCGCAGUUAAGCGUGCUUGGGCGAGAGUAGUACUAGGAUGGGUGACCUCCCGGGAAGUCCUCGUGUUGCACCCCUUUUUAUUUUUUAAUUUUUUUUUAGCCUAAAACGAGUCUAAACUUGAAAACCCAUAACUUUUGAACCGUGAGGAACUACGUCGCCCAUAGCACCAUUUCGGAAAGCCCCAGAAACCAUAAUGGGCGGUGAAUAGGGGGCGCAAUUUUUCGGGCUCAAAUUCAGCCGUUUUGACCCUCAAACGGGCUGCGGAAAGUUAUGGCACGUAAAAAAGAUCGAAAGCGGAUUCUCAAGGUGUUUUUGAUGCUUUCUUAACGCCGUUAACCUCGAUGCACUUUUUCGCUCGAAACAAAACGGCAAGAAAAUCAUGCGCGCCCCACGGCCUUACACUUGGAUUGGCCGCGAAAAGGAUAUAUAGAAACGAGAGUGAUGUACUGUCGGGUGCGAUCAUACCAGCACUAAUGCACCGGAUCCCAUCAGAACUCCGCAGUUAAGCGUGCUUGGGCGAGAGUAGUACUAGGAUGGGUGACCUCCCGGGAAGUCCUCGUGUUGCACCCCUUUUUAUUUUUUAAUUUUUUUUUAGCCUAAAACGAGUCUAAACUUGAAAACCCCAUAACUUUUGAACCGUGAGGAACUACGUCGCCCAUAGCACCAUUUCGGAAAGCCCCAGAAACCAUAAUGGGCGGUGAAUAGGGGGCGCAAUUUUUCGGGCUCAAAUUCAGCCGUUUUGACCCUCAAACGGGCUGCGGAAAGUUAUGGCACGUAAAAAAGAUCGAAAGCGGAUUCUCAAGGUGUUUUUGAUGCUUUCUUAACGCCGUUAACCUCGAUGCACUUUUUCGCUCGAAACAAAACGGCAAGAAAAUCAUGCGCGCCCCACGGCCUUACACUUGGAUUGGCCGCGAAAAGGAUAUAUAGAAACGAGAGUGAUGUACUGUCGGGUGCGAUCAUACCAGCACUAAUGCACCGGAUCCCAUCAGAACUCCGCAGUUAAGCGUGCUUGGGCGAGAGUAGUACUAGGAUGGGUGACCUCCCGGGAAGUCCUCGUGUUGCACCCCUUUUUAUUUUUUAAUUUUUUUUUAGCCUAAAACGAGUCUAAACUUGAAAACCCCAUAACUUUUGAACCGUGAGGAACUACGUCGCCCAUAGCACCAUUUCGGAAAGCCCCAGAAACCAUAAUGGGCGGUGAAUAGGGGGCGCAAUUUUUCGGGCUCAAAUUCAGCCGUUUUGACCCUCAAACGGGCUGCGGAAAGUUAUGGCACGUAAAAAAGAUCGAAAGCGGAUUCUCAAGGUGUUUUUGAUGCUUUCUUAACGCCGUUAACCUCGAUGCACUUUUUCGCUCGAAACAAAACGGCAAGAAAAUCAUGCGCGCCCCACGGCCUUACACUUGGAUUGGCCGCGAAAAGGAUAUAUAGAAACGAGAGUGAUGUACUGUCGGGUGCGAUCAUACCAGCACUAAUGCACCGGAUCCCAUCAGAACUCCGCAGUUAAGCGUGCUUGGGCGAGAGUAGUACUAGGAUGGGUGACCUCCCGGGAAGUCCUCGUGUUGCACCCCUUUUUAUUUUUUAAUUUUUUUUUAGCCUAAAACGAGUCUAAACUUGAAAACCCAUAACUUUUGAACCGUGAGGAACUACGUCGCCCAUAGCACCAUUUCGGAAAGCCCCAGAAACCAUAAUGGGCGGUGAAUAGGGGGCGCAAUUUUUCGGGCUCAAAUUCAGCCGUUUUGACCCUCAAACGGGCUGCGGAAAGUUAUGGCACGUAAAAAAGAUCGAAAGCGGAUUCUCAAGGUGUUUUUGAUGCUUUCUUAACGCCGUUAACCUCGAUGCACUUUUUCGCUCGAAACAAAACGGCAAGAAAAUCAUGCGCGCCCCACGGCCUUACACUUGGAUUGGCCGCGAAAAGGAUAUAUAGAAACGAGAGUGAUGUACUGUCGGGUGCGAUCAUACCAGCACUAAUGCACCGGAUCCCAUCAGAACUCCGCAGUUAAGCGUGCUUGGGCGAGAGUAGUACUAGGAUGGGUGACCUCCCGGGAAGUCCUCGUGUUGCACCCCUUUUUAUUUUUUAAUUUUUUUUAGCCUAAAACGAGUCUAAACUUGAAAACCCCAUAACUUUUGAACCGUGAGGAACUACGUCGCCCAUAGCACCAUUUCGGAAAGCCCCAGAAACCAUAAUGGGCGGUGAAUAGGGGGCGCAAUUUUUCGGGCUCAAAUUCAGCCGUUUUGACCCUCAAACGGGCUGCGGAAAGUUAUGGCACGUAAAAAAGAUCGAAAGCGGAUUCUCAAGGUGUUUUUGAUGCUUUCUUAACGCCGUUAACCUCGAUGCACUUUUUCGCUCGAAACAAAACGGCAAGAAAAUCAUGCGCGCCCCACGGCCUUACACUUGGAUUGGCCGCGAAAAGGAUAUAUAGAAACGAGAGUGAUGUACUGUCGGGUGCGAUCAUACCAGCACUAAUGCACCGGAUCCCAUCAGAACUCCGCAGUUAAGCGUGCUUGGGCGAGAGUAGUACUAGGAUGGGUGACCUCCCGGGAAGUCCUCGUGUUGCACCCCUUUUUAUUUUUUAAUUUUUUUUAGCCUAAAACGAGUCUAAACUUGAAAACCCCAUAACUUUUGAACCGUGAGGAACUACGUCGCCCAUAGCACCAUUUCGGAAAGCCCCAGAAACCAUAAUGGGCGGUGAAUAGGGGGCGCAAUUUUUCGGGCUCAAAUUCAGCCGUUUUGACCCUCAAACGGGCUGCGGAAAGUUAUGGCACGUAAAAAAGAUCGAAAGCGGAUUCUCAAGGUGUUUUUGAUGCUUUCUUAACGCCGUUAACCUCGAUGCACUUUUUCGCUCGAAACAAAACGGCAAGAAAAUCAUGCGCGCCCCACGGCCUUACACUUGGAUUGGCCGCGAAAAGGAUAUAUAGAAACGAGAGUGAUGUACUGUCGGGUGCGAUCAUACCAGCACUAAUGCACCGGAUCCCAUCAGAACUCCGCAGUUAAGCGUGCUUGGGCGAGAGUAGUACUAGGAUGGGUGACCUCCCGGGAAGUCCUCGUGUUGCACCCCUUUUUAUUUUUUAAUUUUUUUUUAGCCUAAAACGAGUCUAAACUUGAAAACCCAUAACUUUUGAACCGUGAGGAACUACGUCGCCCAUAGCACCAUUUCGGAAAGCCCCAGAAACCAUAAUGGGCGGUGAAUAGGGGGCGCAAUUUUUCGGGCUCAAAUUCAGCCGUUUUGACCCUCAAACGGGCUGCGGAAAGUUAUGGCACGUAAAAAAGAUCGAAAGCGGAUUCUCAAGGUGUUUUUGAUGCUUUCUUAACGCCGUUAACCUCGAUGCACUUUUUCGCUCGAAACAAAACGGCAAGAAAAUCAUGCGCGCCCCACGGCCUUACACUUGGAUUGGCCGCGAAAAGGAUAUAUAGAAACGAGAGUGAUGUACUGUCGGGUGCGAUCAUACCAGCACUAAUGCACCGGAUCCCAUCAGAACUCCGCAGUUAAGCGUGCUUGGGCGAGAGUAGUACUAGGAUGGGUGACCUCCCGGGAAGUCCUCGUGUUGCACCCCUUUUUAUUUUUUAAUUUUUUUUAGCCUAAAACGAGUCUAAACUUGAAAACCCCAUAACUUUUGAACCGUGAGGAACUACGUCGCCCAUAGCACCAUUUCGGAAAGCCCCAGAAACCAUAAUGGGCGGUGAAUAGGGGGCGCAAUUUUUCGGGCUCAAAUUCAGCCGUUUUGACCCUCAAACGGGCUGCGGAAAGUUAUGGCACGUAAAAAAGAUCGAAAGCGGAUUCUCAAGGUGUUUUUGAUGCUUUCUUAACGCCGUUAACCUCGAUGCACUUUUUCGCUCGAAACAAAACGGCAAGAAAAUCAUGCGCGCCCCACGGCCUUACACUUGGAUUGGCCGCGAAAAGGAUAUAUAGAAACGAGAGUGAUGUACUGUCGGGUGCGAUCAUACCAGCACUAAUGCACCGGAUCCCAUCAGAACUCCGCAGUUAAGCGUGCUUGGGCGAGAGUAGUACUAGGAUGGGUGACCUCCCGGGAAGUCCUCGUGUUGCACCCCUUUUUAUUUUUUAAUUUUUUUUAGCCUAAAACGAGUCUAAACUUGAAAACCCCAUAACUUUUGAACCGUGAGGAACUACGUCGCCCAUAGCACCAUUUCGGAAAGCCCCAGAAACCAUAAUGGGCGGUGAAUAGGGGCGCAAUUUUUCGGGCUCAAAUUCAGCCGUUUUGACCCUCAAACGGGCUGCGGAAAGUUAUGGCACGUAAAAAAGAUCGAAAGCGGAUUCUCAAGGUGUUUUUGAUGCUUUCUUAACGCCGUUAACCUCGAUGCACUUUUUCGCUCGAAACAAAACGGCAAGAAAAUCAUGCGCGCCCCACGGCCUUACACUUGGAUUGGCCGCGAAAAGGAUAUAUAGAAACGAGAGUGAUGUACUGUCGGGUGCGAUCAUACCAGCACUAAUGCACCGGAUCCCAUCAGAACUCCGCAGUCGUGCUUGGGCGAGAGUAGUACUAGGAUGGGUGACCUCCCGGGAAGUCCUCGUGUUGCACCCCUUUUUAUUUUUUAUUUUUUUUUAGCCUAAAACGAGUCUAAACUUGAAAACCCAUAACUUUUGAACCGUGAGGAACUACGUCGCCCAUAGCACCAUUUCGGAAAGCCCCAGAAACCAUAAUGGGCGGUGAAUAGGGGGCGCAAUUUUUCGGGCUCAAAUUCAGCCGUUUUGACCCUCAAACGGGCUGCGGAAAGUUAUGGCACGUAAAAAAGAUCGAAAGCGGAUUCUCAAGGUGUUUUUGAUGCUUUCUUAACGCCGUUAACCUCGAUGCACUUUUUCGCUCGAAACAAAACGGCAAGAAAAUCAUGCGCGCCCCACGGCCUUACACUUGGAUUGGCCGCGAAAAGGAUAUAUAGAAACGAGAGUGAUGUACUGUCGGGUGCGAUCAUACCAGCACUAAUGCACCGGAUCCCAUCAGAACUCCGCAGUUAAGCGUGCUUGGGCGAGAGUAGUACUAGGAUGGGUGACCUCCCGGGAAGUCCUCGUGUUGCACCCCUUUUUAUUUUUUAAUUUUUUUUAGCCUAAAACGAGUCUAAACUUGAAAACCCCAUAACUUUUGAACCGUGAGGAACUACGUCGCCCAUAGCACCAUUUCGGAAAGCCCCAGAAACCAUAAUGGGCGGUGAAUAGGGGGCGCAAUUUUUCGGGCUCAAAUUCAGCCGUUUUGACCCUCAAACGGGCUGCGGAAAGUUAUGGCACGUAAAAAAGAUCGAAAGCGGAUUCUCAAGGUGUUUUUGAUGCUUUCUUAACGCCGUUAACCUCGAUGCACUUUUUCGCUCGAAACAAAACGGCAAGAAAAUCAUGCGCGCCCCACGGCCUUACACUUGGAUUGGCCGCGAAAAGGAUAUAUAGAAACGAGAGUGAUGUACUGUCGGGUGCGAUCAUACCAGCACUAAUGCACCGGAUCCCAUCAGAACUCCGCAGUUAAGCGUGCUUGGGCGAGAGUAGUACUAGGAUGGGUGACCUCCCGGGAAGUCCUCGUGUUGCACCCCUUUUUAUUUUUUAAUUUUUUUUAGCCUAAAACGAGUCUAAACUUGAAAACCCCAUAACUUUUGAACCGUGAGGAACUACGUCGCCCAUAGCACCAUUUCGGAAAGCCCCAGAAACCAUAAUGGGCGGUGAAUAGGGGGCGCAAUUUUUCGGGCUCAAAUUCAGCCGUUUUGACCCUCAAACGGGCUGCGGAAAGUUAUGGCACGUAAAAAAGAUCGAAAGCGGAUUCUCAAGGUGUUUUUGAUGCUUUCUUAACGCCGUUAACCUCGAUGCACUUUUUCGCUCGAAACAAAACGGCAAGAAAAUCAUGCGCGCCCCACGGCCUUACACUUGGAUUGGCCGCGAAAAGGAUAUAUAGAAACGAGAGUGAUGUACUGUCGGGUGCGAUCAUACCAGCACUAAUGCACCGGAUCCCAUCAGAACUCCGCAGUUAAGCGUGCUUGGGCGAGAGUAGUACUAGGAUGGGUGACCUCCCGGGAAGUCCUCGUGUUGCACCCCUUUUUAUUUUUUAAUUUUUUUUUAGCCUAAAACGAGUCUAAACUUGAAAACCCCAUAACUUUUGAACCGUGAGGAACUACGUCGCCCAUAGCACCAUUUCGGAAAGCCCCAGAAACCAUAAUGGGCGGUGAAUAGGGGGCGCAAUUUUUCGGGCUCAAAUUCAGCCGUUUUGACCCUCAAACGGGCUGCGGAAAGUUAUGGCACGUAAAAAAGAUCGAAAGCGGAUUCUCAAGGUGUUUUUGAUGCUUUCUUAACGCCGUUAACCUCGAUGCACUUUUUCGCUCGAAACAAAACGGCAAGAAAAUCAUGCGCGCCCCACGGCCUUACACUUGGAUUGGCCGCGAAAAGGAUAUAUAGAAACGAGAGUGAUGUACUGUCGGGUGCGAUCAUACCAGCACUAAUGCACCGGAUCCCAUCAGAACUCCGCAGUUAAGGGUGCUUGGGCGAGAGUAGUACUAGGAUGGGUGACCUCCCGGGAAGUCCUCGUGUUGCACCCCUUUUUAUUUUUUUUAUUUUUUUUUAGCCUAAAACGAGUCUAAACUUGAAAACCCCAUAACUUUUGAACCGUGAGGAACUACGUCGCCCAUAGCACCAUUUCGGAAAGCCCCAGAAACCAUAAUGGGCGGUGAAUAGGGGGCGCAAUUUUUCGGGCUCAAAUUCAGCCGUUUUGACCCUCAAACGGGCUGCGGAAAGUUAUGGCACGUAAAAAAGAUCGAAAGCGGAUUCUCAAGGUGUUUUUGAUGCUUUCUUAACGCCGUUAACCUCGAUGCACUUUUUCGCUCGAAACAAAACGGCAAGAAAAUCAUGCGCGCCCCACGGCCUUACACUUGGAUUGGCCGCGAAAAGGAUAUAUAGAAACGAGAGUGAUGUACUGUCGGGUGCGAUCAUACCAGCACUAAUGCACCGGAUCCCAUCAGAACUCCGCAGUUAAGCGUGCUUGGGCGAGAGUAGUACUAGGAUGGGUGACCUCCCGGGAAGUCCUCGUGUUGCACCCCUUUUUAUUUUUUAAUUUUUUUUAGCCUAAAACGAGUCUAAACUUGAAAACCCAUAACUUUUGAACCGUGAGGAACUACGUCGCCCAUAGCACCAUUUCGGAAAGCCCCAGAAACCAUAAUGGGCGGUGAAUAGGGGGCGCAAUUUUUCGGGCUCAAAUUCAGCCGUUUUGACCCUCAAACGGGCUGCGGAAAGUUAUGGCACGUAAAAAAGAUCGAAAGCGGAUUCUCAAGGUGUUUUUGAUGCUUUCUUAACGCCGUUAACCUCGAUGCACUUUUUCGCUCGAAACAAAACGGCAAGAAAAUCAUGCGCGCCCCACGGCCUUACACUUGGAUUGGCCGCGAAAAGGAUAUAUAGAAACGAGAGUGAUGUACUGUCGGGUGCGAUCAUACCAGCACUAAUGCACCGGAUCCCAUCAGAACUCCGCAGUUAAGCGUGCUUGGGCGAGAGUAGUACUAGGAUGGGUGACCUCCCGGGAAGUCCUCGUGUUGCACCCCUUUUUAUUUUUUAAUUUUUUUUAGCCUAAAACGAGUCUAAACUUGAAAACCCCAUAACUUUUGAACCGUGAGGAACUACGUCGCCCAUAGCACCAUUUCGGAAAGCCCCAGAAACCAUAAUGGGCGGUGAAUAGGGGGCGCAAUUUUUCGGGCUCAAAUUCAGCCGUUUUGACCCUCAAACGGGCUGCGGAAAGUUAUGGCACGUAAAAAAGAUCGAAAGCGGAUUCUCAAGGUGUUUUUGAUGCUUUCUUAACGCCGUUAACCUCGAUGCACUUUUUCGCUCGAAACAAAACGGCAAGAAAAUCAUGCGCGCCCCACGGCCUUACACUUGGAUUGGCCGCGAAAAGGAUAUAUAGAAACGAGAGUGAUGUACUGUCGGGUGCGAUCAUACCAGCACUAAUGCACCGGAUCCCAUCAGAACUCCGCAGUUAAGCGUGCUUGGGCGAGAGUAGUACUAGGAUGGGUGACCUCCCGGGAAGUCCUCGUGUUGCACCCCUUUUUAUUUUUUAAUUUUUUUUAGCCUAAAACGAGUCUAAACUUGAAACCCCAUAACUUUUGAACCGUGAGGAACUACGUCGCCCAUAGCACCAUUUCGGAAAGCCCCAGAAACCAUAAUGGGCGGUGAAUAGGGGGCGCAAUUUUUCGGGCUCAAAUUCAGCCGUUUUGACCCUCAAACGGGCUGCGGAAAGUUAUGGCACGUAAAAAAGAUCGAAAGCGGAUUCUCAAGGUGUUUUUGAUGCUUUCUUAACGCCGUUAACCUCGAUGCACUUUUUCGCUCGAAACAAAACGGCAAGAAAAUCAUGCGCGCCCCACGGCCUUACACUUGGAUUGGCCGCGAAAAGGAUAUAUAGAAACGAGAGUGAUGUACUGUCGGGUGCGAUCAUACCAGCACUAAUGCACCGGAUCCCAUCAGAACUCCGCAGUUAAGCGUGCUUGGGCGAGAGUAGUACUAGGAUGGGUGACCUCCCGGGAAGUCCUCGUGUUGCACCCCUUUUUAUUUUUUAAUUUUUUUUUAGCCUAAAACGAGUCUAAAAAAACAAACUAACUUUUGAACCGUGAGGAACUACGUCGCCCAUAGCACCAUUUCGGAAAGCCCCAGAAACCAUAAUGGGCGGUGAAUAGGGGGCGCAAUUUUUCGGGCUCAAAUUCAGCCGUUUUGACCCUCAAACGGGCUGCGGAAAGUUAUGGCACGUAAAAAAGAUCGAAAGCGGAUUCUCAAGGUGUUUUUGAUGCUUUCUUAACGCCGUUAACCUCGAUGCACUUUUUCGCUCGAAACAAAACGGCAAGAAAAUCAUGCGCGCCCCACGGCCUUACACUUGGAUUGGCCGCGAAAAGGAUAUAUAGAAACGAGAGUGAUGUACUGUCGGGUGCGAUCAUACCAGCACUAAUGCACCGGAUCCCAUCAGAACUCCGCAGUUAAGCGUGCUUGGGCGAGAGUAGUACUAGGAUGGGUGACCUCCCGGGAAGUCCUCGUGUUGCACCCCUUUUUAUUUUUUAAUUUUUUUUAGCCUAAAACGAGUCUAAACUUGAAAACCCAUAACUUUUGAACCGUGAGGAACUACGUCGCCCAUAGCACCAUUUCGGAAAGCCCCAGAAACCAUAAUGGGCGGUGAAUAGGGGGCGCAAUUUUUCGGGCUCAAAUUCAGCCGUUUUGACCCUCAAACGGGCUGCGGAAAGUUAUGGCACGUAAAAAAGAUCGAAAGCGGAUUCUCAAGGUGUUUUUGAUGCUUUCUUAACGCCGUUAACCUCGAUGCACUUUUUCGCUCGAAACAAAACGGCAAGAAAAUCAUGCGCGCCCCACGGCCUUACACUUGGAUUGGCCGCGAAAAGGAUAUAUAGAAACGAGAGUGAUGUACUGUCGGGUGCGAUCAUACCAGCACUAAUGCACCGGAUCCCAUCAGAACUCCGCAGUUAAGCGUGCUUGGGCGAGAGUAGUACUAGGAUGGGUGACCUCCCGGGAAGUCCUCGUGUUGCACCCCUUUUUAUUUUUAAAUUUUUUUAGCCUAAAACGAGUCUAAACUUGAAAACCCCAUAACUUUUGAACCGUGAGGAACUACGUCGCCCAUAGCACCAUUUCGGAAAGCCCCAGAAACCAUAAUGGGCGGUGAAUAGGGGGCGCAAUUUUUCGGGCUCAAAUUCAGCCGUUUUGACCCUCAAACGGGCUGCGGAAAGUUAUGGCACGUAAAAAAGAUCGAAAGCGGAUUCUCAAGGUGUUUUUGAUGCUUUCUUAACGCCGUUAACCUCGAUGCACUUUUUCGCUCGAAACAAAACGGCAAGAAAAUCAUGCGCGCCCCACGGCCUUACACUUGGAUUGGCCGCGAAAAGGAUAUAUAGAAACGAGAGUGAUGUACUGUCGGGUGCGAUCAUACCAGCACUAAUGCACCGGAUCCCAUCAGAACUCCGCAGUUAAGCGUGCUUGGGCGAGAGUAGUACUAGGAUGGGUGACCUCCCGGGAAGUCCUCGUGUUGCACCCCUUUUUAUUUUUUAAUUUUUUUUAGCCUAAAACGAGUCUAAACUUGAAAACCCCAUAACUUUUGAACCGUGAGGAACUACGUCGCCCAUAGCACCAUUUCGGAAAGCCCCAGAAACCAUAAUGGGCGGUGAAUAGGGGGCGCAAUUUUUCGGGCUCAAAUUCAGCCGUUUUGACCCUCAAACGGGCUGCGGAAAGUUAUGGCACGUAAAAAAGAUCGAAAGCGGAUUCUCAAGGUGUUUUUGAUGCUUUCUUAACGCCGUUAACCUCGAUGCACUUUUUCGCUCGAAACAAAACGGCAAGAAAAUCAUGCGCGCCCCACGGCCUUACACUUGGAUUGGCCGCGAAAAGGAUAUAUAGAAACGAGAGUGAUGUACUGUCGGGUGCGAUCAUACCAGCACUAAUGCACCGGAUCCCAUCAGAACUCCGCAGUUAAGCGUGCUUGGGCGAGAGUAGUACUAGGAUGGGUGACCUCCCGGGAAGUCCUCGUGUUGCACCCCUUUUUAUUUUUUAAUUUUUUUUAGCCUAAAACGAGUCUAAACUUGAAAACCCCAUAACUUUUGAACCGUGAGGAACUACGUCGCCCAUAGCACCAUUUCGGAAAGCCCCAGAAACCAUAAUGGGCGGUGAAUAGGGGGCGCAAUUUUUCGGGCUCAAAUUCAGCCGUUUUGACCCUCAAACGGGCUGCGGAAAGUUAUGGCACGUAAAAAAGAUCGAAAGCGGAUUCUCAAGGUGUUUUUGAUGCUUUCUUAACGCCGUUAACCUCGAUGCACUUUUUCGCUCGAAACAAAACGGCAAGAAAAUCAUGCGCGCCCCACGGCCUUACACUUGGAUUGGCCGCGAAAAGGAUAUAUAGAAACGAGAGUGAUGUACUGUCGGGUGCGAUCAUACCAGCACUAAUGCACCGGAUCCCAUCAGAACUCCGCAGUUAAGCGUGCUUGGGCGAGAGUAGUACUAGGAUGGGUGACCUCCCGGGAAGUCCUCGUGUUGCACCCCUUUUUAUUUUUUAAUUUUUUUUUAGCCUAAAACGAGUCUAAACUUGAAAACCCCAUAACUUUUGAACCGUGAGGAACUACGUCGCCCAUAGCACCAUUUCGGAAAGCCCCAGAAACCAUAAUGGGCGGUGAAUAGGGGGCGCAAUUUUUCGGGCUCAAAUUCAGCCGUUUUGACCCUCAAACGGGCUGCGGAAAGUUAUGGCACGUAAAAAAGAUCGAAAGCGGAUUCUCAAGGUGUUUUUGAUGCUUUCUUAACGCCGUUAACCUCGAUGCACUUUUUCGCUCGAAACAAAACGGCAAGAAAAUCAUGCGCGCCCCACGGCCUUACACUUGGAUUGGCCGCGAAAAGGAUAUAUAGAAACGAGAGUGAUGUACUGUCGGGUGCGAUCAUACCAGCACUAAUGCACCGGAUCCCAUCAGAACUCCGCAGUUAAGCGUGCUUGGGCGAGAGUAGUACUAGGAUGGGUGACCUCCCGGGAAGUCCUCGUGUUGCACCCCUUUUUAUUUUUUAAUUUUUUUUUAGCCUAAAACGAGUCUAAACUUGAAAACCCCAUAACUUUUGAACCGUGAGGAACUACGUCGCCCAUAGCACCAUUUCGGAAAGCCCCAGAAACCAUAAUGGGCGGUGAAUAGGGGGCGCAAUUUUUCGGGCUCAAAUUCAGCCGUUUUGACCCUCAAACGGGCUGCGGAAAGUUAUGGCACGUAAAAAAGAUCGAAAGCGGAUUCUCAAGGUGUUUUUGAUGCUUUCUUAACGCCGUUAACCUCGAUGCACUUUUUCGCUCGAAACAAAACGGCAAGAAAAUCAUGCGCGCCCCACGGCCUUACACUUGGAUUGGCCGCGAAAAGGAUAUAUAGAAACGAGAGUGAUGUACUGUCGGGUGCGAUCAUACCAGCACUAAUGCACCGGAUCCCAUCAGAACUCCGCAGUUAAGCGUGCUUGGGCGAGAGUAGUACUAGGAUGGGUGACCUCCCGGGAAGUCCUCGUGUUGCACCCCUUUUUAUUUUUUAAUUUUUUUUUAGCCUAAAACGAGUCUAAACUUGAAAACCCCAUAACUUUUGAACCGUGAGGAACUACGUCGCCCAUAGCACCAUUUCGGAAAGCCCCAGAAACCAUAAUGGGCGGUGAAUAGGGGGCGCAAUUUUUCGGGCUCAAAUUCAGCCGUUUUGACCCUCAAACGGGCUGCGGAAAGUUAUGGCACGUAAAAAAGAUCGAAAGCGGAUUCUCAAGGUGUUUUUGAUGCUUUCUUAACGCCGUUAACCUCGAUGCACUUUUUCGCUCGAAACAAAACGGCAAGAAAAUCAUGCGCGCCCCACGGCCUUACACUUGGAUUGGCCGCGAAAAGGAUAUAUAGAAACGAGAGUGAUGUACUGUCGGGUGCGAUCAUACCAGCACUAAUGCACCGGAUCCCAUCAGAACUCCGCAGUUAAGCGUGCUUGGGCGAGAGUAGUACUAGGAUGGGUGACCUCCCGGGAAGUCCUCGUGUUGCACCCCUUUUUAUUUUUUAAUUUUUUUUAGCCUAAAACGAGUCUAAACUUGAAAACCCCAUAACUUUUGAACCGUGAGGAACUACGUCGCCCAUAGCACCAUUUCGGAAAGCCCCAGAAACCAUAAUGGGCGGUGAAUAGGGGGCGCAAUUUUUCGGGCUCAAAUUCAGCCGUUUUGACCCUCAAACGGGCUGCGGAAAGUUAUGGCACGUAAAAAAGAUCGAAAGCGGAUUCUCAAGGUGUUUUUGAUGCUUUCUUAACGCCGUUAACCUCGAUGCACUUUUUCGCUCGAAACAAAACGGCAAGAAAAUCAUGCGCGCCCCACGGCCUUACACUUGGAUUGGCCGCGAAAAGGAUAUAUAGAAACGAGAGUGAUGUACUGUCGGGUGCGAUCAUACCAGCACUAAUGCACCGGAUCCCAUCAGAACUCCGCAGUUAAGCGUGCUUGGGCGAGAGUAGUACUAGGAUGGGUGACCUCCCGGGAAGUCCUCGUGUUGCACCCCUUUUUAUUUUUUAAUUUUUUUUAGCCUAAAACGAGUCUAAACUUGAAAACCCCAUAACUUUUGAACCGUGAGGAACUACGUCGCCCAUAGCACCAUUUCGGAAAGCCCCAGAAACCAUAAUGGGCGGUGAAUAGGGGGCGCAAUUUUUCGGGCUCAAAUUCAGCCGUUUUGACCCUCAAACGGGCUGCGGAAAGUUAUGGCACGUAAAAAAGAUCGAAAGCGGAUUCUCAAGGUGUUUUUGAUGCUUUCUUAACGCCGUUAACCUCGAUGCACUUUUUCGCUCGAAACAAAACGGCAAGAAAAUCAUGCGCGCCCCACGGCCUUACACUUGGAUUGGCCGCGAAAAGGAUAUAUAGAAACGAGAGUGAUGUACUGUCGGGUGCGAUCAUACCAGCACUAAUGCACCGGAUCCCAUCAGAACUCCGCAGUUAAGCGUGCUUGGGCGAGAGUAGUACUAGGAUGGGUGACCUCCCGGGAAGUCCUCGUGUUGCACCCCUUUUUAUUUUUUAAUUUUUUUUUAGCCUAAAACGAGUCUAAACUUGAAAACCCCAUAACUUUUGAACCGUGAGGAACUACGUCGCCCAUAGCACCAUUUCGGAAAGCCCCAGAAACCAUAAUGGGCGGUGAAUAGGGGGCGCAAUUUUUCGGGCUCAAAUUCAGCCGUUUUGACCCUCAAACGGGCUGCGGAAAGUUAUGGCACGUAAAAAAGAUCGAAAGCGGAUUCUCAAGGUGUUUUUGAUGCUUUCUUAACGCCGUUAACCUCGAUGCACUUUUUCGCUCGAAACAAAACGGCAAGAAAAUCAUGCGCGCCCCACGGCCUUACACUUGGAUUGGCCGCGAAAAGGAUAUAUAGAAACGAGAGUGAUGUACUGUCGGGUGCGAUCAUACCAGCACUAAUGCACCGGAUCCCAUCAGAACUCCGCAGUUAAGCGUGCUUGGGCGAGAGUAGUACUAGGAUGGGUGACCUCCCGGGAAGUCCUCGUGUUGCACCCCUUUUUAUUUUUUAAUUUUUUUUAGCCUAAAACGAGUCUAAACUUGAAAACCUCAUAACUUUUGAACCGUGAGGAACUACGUCGCCCAUAGCACCAUUUCGGAAAGCCCCAGAAACCAUAAUGGGCGGUGAAUAGGGGGCGCAAUUUUUCGGGCUCAAAUUCAGCCGUUUUGACCCUCAAACGGGCUGCGGAAAGUUAUGGCACGUAAAAAAGAUCGAAAGCGGAUUCUCAAGGUGUUUUUGAUGCUUUCUUAACGCCGUUAACCUCGAUGCACUUUUUCGCUCGAAACAAAACGGCAAGAAAAUCAUGCGCGCCCCACGGCCUUACACUUGGAUUGGCCGCGAAAAGGAUAUAUAGAAACGAGAGUGAUGUACUGUCGGGUGCGAUCAUACCAGCACUAAUGCACCGGAUCCCAUCAGAACUCCGCAGUUAAGCGUGCUUGGGCGAGAGUAGUACUAGGAUGGGUGACCUCCCGGGAAGUCCUCGUGUUGCACCCCUUUUUAUUUUUUUUUUUUUUUAGCCUAAAACGAGUCUAAACUUGAAAACCCCAUAACUUUUGAACCGUGAGGAACUACGUCGCCCAUAGCACCAUUUCGGAAAGCCCCAGAAACCAUAAUGGGCGGUGAAUAGGGGGCGCAAUUUUUCGGGCUCAAAUUCAGCCGUUUUGACCCUCAAACGGGCUGCGGAAAGUUAUGGCACGUAAAAAAGAUCGAAAGCGGAUUCUCAAGGUGUUUUUGAUGCUUUCUUAACGCCGUUAACCUCGAUGCACUUUUUCGCUCGAAACAAAACGGCAAGAAAAUCAUGCGCGCCCCACGGCCUUACACUUGGAUUGGCCGCGAAAAGGAUAUAUAGAAACGAGAGUGAUGUACUGUCGGGUGCGAUCAUACCAGCACUAAUGCACCGGAUCCCAUCAGAACUCCGCAGUUAAGCGUGCUUGGGCGAGAGUAGUACUAGGAUGGGUGACCUCCCGGGAAGUCCUCGUGUUGCACCCCUUUUUAUUUUUUAAUUUUUUUUUAGCCUAAAACGAGUCUAAACUUGAAAACCCCAUAACUUUUGAACCGUGAGGAACUACGUCGCCCAUAGCACCAUUUCGAAAGCCCCAGAAACCAUAAUGGGCGGUGAAUAGGGGGCGCAAUUUUUCGGGCUCAAAUUCAGCCGUUUUGACCCUCAAACGGGCUGCGGAAAGUUAUGGCACGUAAAAAAGAUCGAAAGCGGAUUUUCAAGGUGUUUUUGAUGCUUUCUUAACGCCGUUAACCUCGAUGCACUUUUUCGCUCGAAACAAAACGGCAAGAAAAUCAUGCGCGCCCCACGGCCUUACACUUGGAUUGGCCGCGAAAAGGAUAUAUAGAAACGAGAGUGAUGUAC
rnacentral:lncRNA from 1 species